UGCAAGCUGUUGCGCUGCAGCUGGAAUCUAACUGAUGUGUGUUUAUGUGCCGUAAAGAAACUAUCAGAUCAUAUUAUGCAAAUCAGAAGCUAUGGUUGUCGGUUCAUGUUCACCUAUGCCACAGUGGGGAAUGGAAGUCCUCCGAUUGUUGUUAUUUUGCAUUUACUACCAUGCCUCGAUGCCGGGAAGAACUGCCCUGUGAUUGUGUUACCCUGUGAUUGUUAAUCAUUAUUUUAUCAAGUGUAGUUUCCAACUCAUCCUUGGUGUAUCAUUCUUUCUUUCCAUCAGCCAUGUUGUAUGUUUUGAAACAUUUGUAAAUAGUCUUCUACUCCCUUUUUAUAUUAGUACUUGUGUUUACUUUACCAGCUUUAGCAGAAAAUGCAUACGAUCAGUCGGUUGCGCACCUCCCUUUUUUCCUAUGGACGCAGCUCCCUUUUAUUGCACCAACAAUAUGCGUCUGGAUCGCUGCCUAACUUUAUUUUUUCACAUCAGUUCCGACGCAAGCGCUCGUAUAUACGUGCAUACACUCACCCCUAUAAAUACACAUAUAGCCACCAUAUUCUAUGAGCACCUCCGAGAGACCGAGUCGGCAUUUCAUCUUGAGAUUUUACGAAGUCACUGUAGACGCCUCAUAGUCGACAGGAACGUCUCCUCCCACUGAACGUGUAUCGCUGUAAGUCAUUAGGAUACCAUUGUCCACAUAACCAUCCAACCACAUAUUGAUUCGCUAUCGCAGCCCACCUUGUAAUCUCUCCAAGCAUAGCUUCGAAAGAGGAAUUUUAUUUAGGAAUACAAAAGAGGAGUUGGUAGUCUUUCCUCACCUCCCACAAUUGCAUCACCCUUGUUUUUUCUCUCUCACUAAUAAAAAUUGAAAAGAAUAAGGUUUCCUCGCAUGUCGCUAUGGCCUUCCGCUCCCUCUUCAUUCGUGCUUUUUCUUUCUGUUUGCCUCCGGGUUUUUUUUUUCGUGUGAUUCCCGUUCCCAGUUCAUCUAACCGUGCGACAUCCCAUGCCUCUCUCACAUCAAUCCCCUUCUUUGUUCCUCCCAAGCCCGGCUAGGGACUCCUUCCAUUGUGUGCUCCCUCUACCACGCCGUCUGUCCUGGAUUUGUCAUGGCAGAUGUCCUUAGUGUCAGGACUUAGUCGCGAGGCCAACGCAUCUAUGUGGUAGCUUGAGAGGGGUUGAGUGGGACGAGAGACGCAGGGCGGAUCAACACGUAAGACAAGGGUUUAGACAGCUUCGGGACCCGGGAAACAUCAUCCGGUAAUAGUCCUACAUGCUGUUUGAGGCUAGGUCUCAUUAUGCUCAUGAGGGAGUUGUCGCAUAAGCCGGCUCCCCCUUUGGUUGUGUCUAGCCCUAGAGAUUAUUGUUUCUUCUUGCUUGCCCCUCUUUGGGGAGCCCUGCCCCUCCUUAUAUAAGUUAGAGGGGCGGGUUACAUGUGGAGUCCUAGUAGGACUAGGACUAGUCUAUCUUCUCUUACAAGUUGAUUACAAGUCCGGGUCUUGCUUCCUCGUAAAGGAAAUAUUCAUCAUCCCUUUCCUCUUAAGCCGGCCCACCUUUAUAUGAACCGGCAUACUGGGCCUUGGGCCUUGUCGUCCGUCUGAAGCACCCGCCGGGUCACCCAUGAGUCUUCAGGCUCGUGAGUCGUCACACCGGUGAGCCGCCAGACCCGUGAGUCGCCAGUCCUUCGGCGGGUCAUCGGGAAGCGCCAAGUCCGGCCGGGUCAUAUAUCCGGCCGGGUCAUACCACGGGGUAUAUCUCCGACAUUAGCCCCCAGUUUAAUCUGGAUUUAUCCAUGUUAAACUAACCCUGCAAAAUAACUCAAGAACAAUUUGACAGGUUGUGCUCCGGGUUAGAUAUUUGUAAGCCGGCACCUCAUCAUCUUUAAAUCCUUGCCAUUUCCUUCUUGAUACAUGCCCAUGAACUCAUAGCAAAUCUCUUUUAGUAGAUAUGUUCAAAUUUUGCCAAUGCAAAAAAUCCAGAUACUUCCUUUGAAAAAUCCGGGUCAAUAGGCCAGCUUCAGAGUCAAUUUGCUAGCAUUGGUCUCUUGUAGAUAAAUAUUGUAAGAAAUAAUCCACUUGAACCGGCUUCCAAAGUGUCGGCUUAAAACAUAUUGGUCUUGAAAUACUGAUCUGACUUUCAGCCGGCUUAAAGAUGUAGAUCUUACCGAUUUAUGAUUGCCAAAAUUGCCGGGUUAUAAAUAAAUGAUGUCGGGUCAUGAUUGUUGCAGACACCGGGUUAAUCUGAUCUACACCAAACUGAGAAUUUGAAGAUUUUUUCUCCCUUAUAUGUAUAUCACCUAUAGCCCCCAAGUCUUAAGAGGAAAACAUAGUGAUAACUUAAGACUUGCUUCAAUAUAAGUGUUGCAACCUUGAAGAAAUCCAGUUUAUUCAUCUCAAUCAUUAGUCAUAAACUGAAUAUUCCACAUAUGUAGCCCUCAAGUGCCGGGUUGUCAUGCUUGCAGCAAUCUGGGACUUGUAAUUGCCUUAUGCUCAUGAAAACUUCAACUAGUGUAGCCCCCAAGGGUCGGGUCUCUAUGCAAUAAUGAACAGGGACUUUGUAAAUAUGAUCAUGUAAACUUGACCAGCAACGUGUAGCCCCCAAGGGCCGGGUCAGUAAGAUAUUACCGAGCUGGGACUUUGUAUAUGAUUUAUCGAUAAUAACAUCAUAUGAUGUAAUCUCCACCAUGGGGCUUGAACCCACGUCCACAAGGUUAAGAGCUUUGUACUCUAUCAACUGAGUAGUGGAUCUUUCAAUAUAAUGGAUUAAGACUUGUGUACCUUGAAUUUUUGACAGGAGCAAUUGGUAGCCCCCAAGGGUCGGCUCAUUUAGAAUGUGAUGAGUCGGGUCUUCAAUAAGUUGAGCAAAAAAUGACUUUGCAUUAGCCCCCAAGUGCCAUGGUGCAUGCUGGCAGUGACAUGGGACUUGCAUAUUUGAUGCAAUCUCAAUUUGAAUAAUGUAGCCCCCAAGUGCCGGGUUGUAAGCCCGCAGCAACUCGGGACUAUUCUUUCCAUUGUAGAGUAAAUCAUAUCCAUUGAUAAAAUAAUAGUCAUUGCGCUAAAGUGACUUUGAAAACCUCAAUGAUAAUUUGACAACCGUAAAUAAAAUCCAGCCAUGUUGGCUAUUCAAAAUUUGAAUAAUAUAAUCCGGUACGAAAACCUCAAUCAUUCAAUAUCAUCAUGACAAUCCAGCCAAGUUUGGCUAUGAAAGAUGUGAAUACCUUAUUGGUUGACAAGUAAAUCCGGAGUUUAAAUACUCGGCUGCUCUUGGCCGAUAGCGACUUAAUGCACAUUCAUGGUAAGCCGGAAUUUUAAUAACCCAAUGGCUUAUAGCCUUUGAGAAAAUCCAGAAUGGAUACCCCUUUUGAAACAUCAAUUUGGAUGAUGAUCUUGAACUUAAUAUAAGUCAUAGUUCUGCAAAUCCCGUGAUAUUGAAUCGUACUGCCGGCUUAUGAUACCUGUGCAGUAAGGGUGAUAACCCAAAACUUAGAAGUCAAACCUUCCAAGUAUUAAUAUUGUCAUAUGCUGGCAACUUGUCCGUCGAAAGCCAGGGCGGGUUAACAGAAACCACAUAUAUAUGCUUCAGAUAUGAGCAAAAAAGUGUCUCAAGUAAAAUUCAAAAAUUUGUUUGCAAAAAGAGACUUCAAGAAUUUUGAGGCUUCUGAUUCGAAUACGAUCAGAAAACCGUUCCAAAGGGGUUAAGCUAAGAUUCGAAUACGGUCAUAUAGCCCCCAGUGGCUUUGGCGUUGCCGAUCAAGAGGGUACCGACAGCUAUGUUCUCUUUGGUUCGAAUACGACCUAUGUUUGAACAGGAAGCCCCCAAAUGACCUUGAGAGUUGUUUAACGACGCUGAUUCGAAUACGAUCCACGUCGGACCCAAAAGAGGUUAAGCUAUGAUUCGGAUACGAUCAAGAAGCCCCCUAGUGAGUUUGGCAGUGUGCCGAUCAAAAGGGUUUCGACAGCUAUGUUCUCUUUGGUUCAAAUACGACCUAUGUUUGAACAGGAAGCCCCCAAGUGACCAUAUAUUAGCAUUGCACCGAUCAAAAGGGUACCAACAGCUAUGCUCAAUGAGCAGGAAGCCCCCAAGUGACCAUAAUAAGAUAAGCCGUAAGGCAUGAUACCCAUGUUUGAACCGCGCAUCAUGGUAGCGAGCUCUUUUUGGCACCCUUUAAUCUUUCUGAGAACUCGAACUUGCGAGAUAUUAAUUCUUUUUGAAACGGAAGUUUAAACCGGAUUUGAAAGCUUCAAAACUUUGUGAGAGAUAAAUUUACCUUGAGCCGGAUUUGAACCAGAUUUGAGAGCUUAAAAAAAUUGUGAGGGACAAAUUUACCUUGGGCCGGAUUUUGAACCGGAUUUGAGAGCUUCAAAAAUUUGUGAGGGACAAAUUUACCUUGGGCCGGAUUUUGAACCGGAUUUGAGAGCUUCAGUGCCUUGUGGGAGAAAGAUGUCCCUUGAACCGGAUUUUAAACCAGAGUCCUUAUUUUGAGCCGGAAAUCUUCUGAUGGCUUUUAAAUUUUCAUCAAUCCAGCAGUAAUCUCCGGGGCCGGGUUAUUUUUCCCUUCAAUGACCCGGAGUUCUUGAAUUUAUUGAAACCGGCUAAUUUUGCCGAGUCAUACCAUUGUAGCCCCCGAGUCCCAAGACGACUCGAGGAGUUGGCUUGAGAUUCUCCAUAUUUGACCAUAGUAGAAGGUGUAUAUCAUUGGCGUUGAUAGCGUGAUGUGAAUCCACAAAAGGUUAAGGUGACUACAGCAGGUUAUAAAUGAUCCCAUAUGAGCCAUGUCAGCAACUCGGCCAAUGGUUCCUUCCAACUGGUUGUUUGAAGUUUAACCAAACUUGUAGUGGCGGUGACUUGUCGCCUGCCCAUUGAGCCAUCCAGUGCAGACAACGGUUGAUAGUAUAUGAUAAUUUGUCUUCACUUUGUUGAAAGAAAAUCGGGCUACCCAAGCUGUGACUUGCUCAUGCAGACAGGUGCAGCCUGGUAUGUUGAUGUAGACCAGGCCGCAAGAGACGGACGACAAAGACGACCGCAACAUCAGAGGCGACUCGGAUAAAUGAGUUGGCCACGACAUUGUAAACCGGUGCGGACGGGGAAAAUCGGCACCGGUGUCAUAAACCAGCACGGACGGGCGAGUUAAUCGCGGGCGUGGUCCCGGUAAGUUGAUGUAAACCGGGCCACAAGGACGACAACUUGCUCAUGUUCAUUCAGCAGGUGGUAUGAUACGGACGAAACGCUAGUGCAGAAUGUUGUUAGCAUGUGCUCUGUGCCCAUAAUAUAACACCUCAUUUGUAAUGAACAAUUGUCCUGCGUCAAAAAUAUCACAUGCCAAAGUAAUAGUUCCUUGACAAAAAUAAUAUGCUCUAAUAAAAUAGGACUUAGAUGGAUAUCACCUGAUAUAUUAGGUCAGAAUUAUCCACCGUGGAGUUGAUGAUCACCGCGGCAAAGCUGAAAUCAAUCAUGGACAAGUCGGCCAUACGAGCAGACGGAUGUUCCGGCCGCGGUGUUGUAAACCGGUGCAGACGAGCAAGUUGUCCUCCGUGUUGUAAACCGGCGCGGACGCAUGAACCGGUAGCCAGGGCGGACGGGCGAGUCGUCUGUGGUGUUGUAAGGUGGUGCGGACGGGCGAGUCGGCUGGCGCGUUGAUGUAAACCGAACCGUGAUACGCGUGUCCGUGAAUGACAUAAAAAAUUGUCCCGUGUAAAAAUACUACAGGACAGAGUAAUUGUUCUUUGACAAGAAACAAAAAGUGUUUAAUACAUAAAUUUAAAUGAAUACCACCUGAUGUUUGGGCGGACAGUAAAACCACCGCAGCAUCAGAAGCGGCUUCGGAGUGAUGAGUCGGUCGCGGCCUUGUAAGCCGGCACAGACGAGCCAGUUGUCCUCCGCGUGAACCAGUACUAGGUAAUGUUGGACGUAUUCCGUGCGGCCUUUGGUAUGUAAACAGGACCAACAGACAACCCACAUAUCAAGUAUGCUGAUGAUUUCUUAUUCUGCACAAGGCGCGUGUGUGGUCGGAGCUGUCCAGUCCGUCCUUCCAACUGUGCACCUGCCAUCAGCGUCGAUCGGACACACCUGUAUGGGUGGCUUGUGGCGACUCAAGGUGGUGAAUUUUUGUCAAAAAAGACCAUCUGACCAACGAAAUUGCCAAAGAAGACCCCCGUCGGAUGAAAUUAACAAAAAAGACCCCCUUGACCGUGGCGGCAGGCGCGCCGGGCGACACGUGGCACCUGCCGCCACGGUGCGAGGCAGCAGCCCCUGCCGCCACCGGGUCAGGCGGCAGGCUGGCCAGAACGGGAAUCCGCACCCGCGAUGAAACUGGGCUGGCGCUGUGGGCCCUGCCGCCUAAGGGGCAGGCGGCAGCCGUGUGCACGCCGCUUUGGUGUACUGACUGAUUAUGUGCGUUGGAGCAGCAGCGGCACGGCCAGCUCCAGAAUAAUCGCUCGUAGCGGCAAACAACACGUGACGGUCCAGCGUGGAGCCCUUGGGCUACGCAUGUGAGGAACACACUGUAACUGAGUGGGUUCAUCUCGCCAUAAUCAAGACGUAGCAUGAUACAUGUAGGUGUGUUCAGUUCAUCUGGUCAUCAUUCGUGUGAUUAUUUUUUUAAACGAUUUGUGUGAUUAAUUGAAUAGACGUGUGGUUGUUGCGUAGACGCCCUGGGUCAGCGACCCGUUCGACCCCUUUGCCCGAGAUAAGUCUGCUGCCUGGCAGGCGGCAGGGCCCAACAGCUACAGCGCUACUGCAUGCAGCGCUAGCCCCGUUCCGUCGCGGGGGAGGAUUCUCGUUCUGGCCAGCCUGCCGCCUGAUCCGGUGACGGCAGGGGCUGCCGCCUCACACCGUGGCGGCAGGUGCCACGUGUCGCCCGGCGCGCCUGCCGCCACGGUCAAAGGGUCUUUUGUCAAUUUUAUCUGAAGGGGGUCUUUUUUGGCAAUUUUGUUGGAUAGGUGGUCUAUUUCGAAAAAAAAUCCAAGGUGGUGGCUCAGAACAGCGGCUCAGAGGCAGCGCAGCAGAGUUGAGGUCAGCGGGUCACGGCCUCGGCGGUUUAGUGAAAACUCACAGUAAAGCGAGGCUGGUCGGCCGCAGUAGAAACGAGAACUUGAGAAAUCCCACUGCGAGGCAGAGGCGACGUACCCAAAUACUACUAGUCGGUUUCUCCACCAUGAUGCUUUUUUUUGCUUUUACACACUGCAUCCGUGUGAGUCCAAGUCACAGGCGGUAACGACGAGGUCGACCGAGUCCUCCUCUUGUAGGUUUGCCCCACGUACUCUACAUGCCCAUCUGGAUUUUUCAUUGAGUAGCAAUCGAUUCUUGAUCUCCGUGCUGGCCAUGUAGUAGCACUAGGGCACUUCACGUAUUAGCAGCUGCCAUCGGUGGACACGUCCAUUGAACAAAAGAGUAAAAAACUAACUUGGAUGCUUUCGCACUGGAUUCUUCCCUUAAAUAAAUCCUUGAUCUCUAUCUUGAAUAUUCAACCUCAGUCCAGGUGGGAUAACUGUUGCGAAAACUCCCCACGCGUGCCGCUUUUACUCUUUUUUCUGCUGCUAGCUUGUAAUUUGGCAGCGUUGAAUACUAUGUUUUCUCCUCAUCUGGUCUGCUCCUGGUCCAACAAGUACGCAAUAUUUCCAAGUGUCAACUUCGCGACACAGUUGAUCAGAUUCAAAUCGGUCUCAGCGGACCAUAUAUAGGACGAUGGGCGGCGGAAAAAACUACAACCAGAGGUUGUCACGCGCCGGGAUAUCAUGCAUGAUUGUUCCGUGUCGGCUCUUCGUCAUCCUGCAAUCCGUGACUUUCUCGAAACCCUAGGACAGAUCCCUCCAAGAACUCAACACCACCGUGCGCGAGCCCCACGGUGGGCGCCAACUGUCGUGAAUUUGUCACGGCAGAUGUCCUUACUGUCAGGACUUAGUCGCGAGGCCAACAUAUCUAUGUGGUAGCUUGAGAGGGGUUGAGUGGGAUGAGAGACGCAGGGCAGAUCAACACGUAAGACAAGGGUUUAGACAGCUUCGGGCCCCGGGAAACAUCAUCCGGUAAUAGCCCUACAUGCUGUUUGAGGCUAGAUCUCAUUAUGCUCAUGAGGGAGUUGCCGCAUAAGACGGCUCCCCCUUUGGUUGUGUCUAGCCCUAGAGAUUAUUGUUUCUUCUUGCUUGCCCCUCUUUAGGGAGCCCUGCCCCUCCUUAUAUAAGUUAGAGGGACGGGUUACAUGUGGAGUCCUAGUAGGACUAGGACUAGUCUAUCUUCUCUUACAAGUUGAUUACAAAUCCGAGUCUUGCUUCCUCGUAAAGGAAAUAUUCGUCAUCCCUUUCCUCUUAAGCUGGCCCACCUUUAUAUGAACCGGCAUACUGGGCCUUGGGCCUUGUCGUCCGUCUGAAGCACCCGCCGGGUCACCCAUGAGUCUUCAGGCUCGUGAGUCGUCACACCAGUGAGCCGCCAGACCCGUGAGUCGCCAGUCCUCCGGCGGGUCAUCGAGAAGCGCCAAGUCUGACCGGGUCAUAUAUCCGGCCAGGUCAUACCGCGGGGUAUAUCCCCGACACCGUCCCUCGCCGCCCCCACGCGCAAUCGCCUUCUUUGUUCCUUCCAAGCUCGGCUAAGGUUACCCAUCUAUUGUGUGCUUCCUCUGCCACGCCGUCCUUCACUGCCCCCACGUGCCACAGCCAUGGGAUCGGCCACCUUGCUAUGGUGGGCGUCAAUCCAUAGCAGCGGAGCUGGCCGGGCGUGAUGGCCAUUGGCGAACUCGUGCUGAGGUCGAAGGCCAUGAUUGUGGUGUCGUUGUUGUUGUGCGCUCCGUGCUGGGAGCUGUUAUCGCCUUGUCCAAUGCGAUGCCAUGGUCGACUUAGACUGGAACCAGUCAUGCGGCGAGAAGCCUAUGUCUAAGGCCGCCAUCUCACGUCGGCGUGUGCGUGCCUAAAGAAACCGUCUGUAGCGCCCAAGAUGCGAUUAUAUCCCAAUCACGUGAUGAAUUCAUGAUUGGGGCACAACCACAUUUCGAGCGCAUAGCAAGGUGGAUAUCAUUACAACAUACCAUGUACUGAAUAGAUGAGAAUACAAGAUGAAGGCUUACACUCGCCACAAGCUACAACAUGAAUGCAUGAAUACAUUAAUACAUAGCAAUCAUCAUACAGAAGAGCGGGAUCCGACUACGGUGAAAUCAACGAAAAAGAAGAACGACAUCCACCCUGCUAAUCCCAGGCUCCCAACCCGGAACCUAUCCCUUGAUCGAGGAAGAAGAAGCAGAAGAACUCAAAAACAAGCAAACAUCGCUCUCACAUCAGAUCAUCACAUUACAUGUACCUUGAACUGUUGUUGUAGUAAUUAGUGAGCCACGAGGACCCAGCAAUCCCAUUACCAUGGGUAUCAAGACUAGCAAAGCUUAAUGGGUAAGGAAUGGAUAAGUGGUGAGGUUGCAACAACCACUAAGCAUUUGUAUGGUGGCCAACUUACGAGUACAAGAAUAAGAAGAGUAACUACACAUAACAGUCGCAACUAGUAAUGAUCAAUAAGUAAUCCUGAACUACUUAUGAGUCAAACAUAAGCCCACCGUGUUCUCUUCCCGAACUCCCUCGAAAAGAGAUGGUCACGAUUAUACACAAGGUUGGUGUAUUUUAUUUUAAGUUUAGUGUCAAGUUCUCUACAACCGGAUAUUAUAAAUCUCCAAGUCGCCCCAUAAGCAAUUUUCGAACACUACCAGGGAAAAGCCUAUACACAGAAUCUUACCAGCAGCGCACUUUAAAAUCAGGCGUUGCUGCUACUUAGCAGUAGCACUCACUUUAAAACCUCGCUGCUGGUACAAGUUUAUCAGUAGCGCGCGCACACCAGGACGUGCUACUGCUAAAAUUCCCACGAUGCCGCAGCGAGGCCAAUUAUAGCAGCAACGCGUUGGAACAAAGGGCGCUACUGCUAAGGAUCGUAGCAGCAGCGCAUUUACGCUAUAAUCGCUACUACUAAGGUUACUACAAAAAUUUAGUCCCAUCUCGCUCCGUGAAGAGAGUUUGUACCACCUUAAAUAUGUUACUUCUACAACUUUCACAAGCACUUGGUCUUCAUUGAACUCUAUGUGUAGGAUCUAUGGCCGCAAUAGGAAUCCUCGCUUGUUCCUAAACCAACCGUCGAGGAUUCCUAUUGACAAAUCAGAUUGUACACAAAAAGACAAUUGAUGAUUAAUGUAUUUUUUAUGUCAAUGUCUAACAUAGCAGUAGCGCGUUCUCGGCCAAAGGCGCUACUGAUAGGUCGUUUAGCAGUAGCGCACUUUGCUAUAGCGCGCUACUGCUAAGCCAUUCCAUCUCCCCCCCUCACCUAUCCGAUCCAGAUCACACUCACACACACACUCGAUCUCCCCCUCGUCGCCCCUCCUCUGUUCUGCGCCGCCGUCGCCUCAGCCUCCUCGCUGGACUCGGUAUCGGCCUCCUCCUCCGUCCUCCCUCCAAUGGCCGCUGGCCGACCCCUCCUCGCUCCGCCUUCCUCCUCCAUUCUCCCUCCACUCGCCGCCGGCCAGCCCCUCCUCGCUCCGCCUUCCUCCUCCAUUCUCCCUCCACUCGCCGCCGGCCAGCCCCUCCUCGCUCCGCCUUCCUCCUCCGUCCUACUCUCUUCUCCCUCCUCGAGUCGCCCCUCCUUCUCCCUCCUCCCUGCUACAUUUUGAUUUAGUAGGCUAGUUCAUAUGCAACAUUCUGAUUUAGUUGAUAUGAUUUAGUUGAUUUAGUAAGCUAGUUGAUUUAGUUGAUUUAGAACAUUUUGAUUUAGUUGAUUUAGUAGGCUGGUUGAUUUAGUUGAUUUAGUAGGCUAGUUGAUUUAGUUGAUUUAGUAGGCUAGUUGAUUUAGUUGAUUUAGUAGCCUAGUUGAUUUAGUUGAUUUAGUAGGCUAGUUGAUUUAGUUGAUUUAGAACAUUUUGAUUUAGUUGAUUUAGUAUGCUACUGGAUUUAGUAUGCUAGUUGAUUUAGUUGAUUUAGGAUGCUACUGGAUUUAGUAUGCUAGUUGAUUUAGUUUAUUUAGGAUGCUUUGCUCAUAUUGCUUUAGGAAAAUAUCACAUGCUACUGUUUUUCUUUCCUGUGAAGUGAAUCAUUAAUCCUUUGCUCAUAUUGCUUUAGGAAAAUGGUGCCACCACCACCACCACUAUGUCGACUGUGCAAGUCAAGGUGUGCCAGCAGCCUUGCAACUGGCAAGCUGUUUGGCAUCUACUUCCAGCCGAGUUUUCAUCAUGCGGCAGUAAGAAAUUAGAUGAAAUGUAAUAACUAUUUUAUUUUUAGUGUUGGCAUUACUGCAUUGUGUCAUUUUUCUUUUCUUACACAGACCGUCCCAUGCAAUGUGAGGUUGAUAUUCAACAAGCUGACAGGAGACACUGUGACAUUUGAGGCUCCUGGGGGGCCGUACACUAUGGAGGUCGAGAAAGGACGCAAUAUGUUGCAGAUUGGAGGAAAUGGAUGGGCCCGUUUCCUCGCCCGCAUGCGUCUUACUGGUGGUGAGUUGAUCAGCUUCUCCUUCAGAGCAGAAAGACCCAAGCUGGCUGUCAUUUAUCUCAACCUGGUGGAAGAUGAUGAAGAUGAUGAAGAUGAUGAAGAUGACGAAGAUGAUGCAGAUGAAGAAGAUGAUGAAGAUAAUGAGGACCCACUUCAUGAAGCCAUCGUAGCUCAAAGAAUGAGGCUGAGCGAGGAGGAGGUGUGCAACCUAUGGGACAUAAUUCCACCACGUGCUGACUUCGUCGGGGUGCCAUUCGUGACCCGCCUGACAAGUACCAUGGUCGAUCGACAUGAUAUGGUAUGUUAUACUUACAAAUGCAAAUUAUCCGAUGAUAUGCUUAGUGUAGAGUACAAUGAUAUGCUGUGUGGAAUCUAGACUUAAUAGAAAUAUAUUUGCAAGAGUAUGUGUGAGGCUAUUUAUUAAUUGAUAUGUUUUUCCUAUUCAGAAAUUGCCAAAGAACCUAUCUGUGAGUUGUGGUAUCGAGCCUGAUGAAGAAGGCUCAGCUGGACUACGUCUUACCACAAGGGGCUCCGUCACCACCUGUACUUACCGCAUGGACACAGACGGUCGCACACACUUAAACUUGGUUGGGUGGAAGAGAUUCCUCGUUGGCAAGAAUCUUCGUGUUGGACAGGCCAUCCUAAUUACUAUCAGGAACACCCACCGCCCAGGCUUGAGGAUGAUGAUCAUCGUCGAUAUCAUCUAGAACUACAUAUGUGUGUGUGGCUAUAUCAUCUAGAACUACAUAUGAUGAUCGUCGUUGAUAUCAUGUAGAACUACAUAUGAUGAUCGUCGUCGAUAUCAUCUAGAACUAAAUAUGAUGAUCAUCGUCGAUGUCACCUUGUACUGCUUGAGGAUGCAUCUUGAGUAUAUAUGAAAUUGUUAUCUAGUACUCCCUCGGUUCCAAAUUACUCGUCGUGGUUUUAGUUCCAAUUUGAACUAAAACCACGACGAGUAAUUUGGAACCGAGGGAGUACUACCUAGUACCUAUAAUGCUUUAUGAAAUUGAUAUCUAGUAGUACCUAGUAUCUGGAAAUUGCAGUUUAUUGAAGCUGGAGUGGGGAAAUGGUGAAAGAUAUAACAGUAGCGCGGGCUCAGGAAAUUGCUACAGCUAACUAAUAGCAGCGCGUUCAGGAAACGCUCUGCUGAUAUAGUCAAUAGUAGUAGCGCGGGCGCAGACAGCGCUACUACUAACAGUUAGCUGUAGCGCCUUAUUGGUAGCGCGGGAGCCCGCACUGCUGAUAGCCUCAAAACCCGCGCUACUACUAGGGUUUUCCCUAGUAGUGGAAUUUGCUACUACUCUGCCCUAAACCAUAUUUUAGAGUUGUUAGACAUGCAAAAUAAGUGCACCAUGUUAAUCUAUGCGUUUUUCUAGACCAUUUACAUAUAAAGUUUGUUUAAUUCGCAGCUACGGUUAUUUAGUUAUGAAAUAAACCAUUUUAACAUGUCAUUUAGCAAAUUAAAUGCAAAUACUUAAACAUUUUUAACAUGGAUGAAAGUUGGAUAUUAUGAAACUACAUGAAAUUGUAAGCAUUUUACAUAUAUAAAACAUUUUAAUCUGAUGCCCGGUUUGUGAAUUAUUAAUGCAUGAACAUGGAGGGUUUUUCUGUAAAACUGUUUUGUCUUGACAAUAAGUAAAUUCGCAACAGGGAAAAAAAUGCAUCGUCUUGGAACUAAAUUGAACUGGGCUGGGGGAGCUUCUCAAGUUCAGCCUUGGGCCAUCGGUGACGAGGUGGAGGCAGGGCGGCUUGGAGCGAUGCAGUCAAUGCUCGAGGACGAGCGUCCGCUCGAUGUAGGACGGGGCUCGAAGCAGAGGAGGUCACAGGCAGGCUCCUGCGACGCGUGCGAUGCAGGGGAGGCACAUCCAUGGCGAGGCAGGGGCGUGACUGAAGGCUGCAGGCGGCGAGCUGUAAGCGGGGGAGGCCGGGAACGGGUGGCGGAACAACGGGGACGGUGAGGACUUGGCUUGCGGCGUGAUGCAGGGAUGAACAGGACACGGCGCACUCGAUCUCCGGCUAGCAGGCGACUACGGGAUCGACGAAGCCGGGAACGGAUGGAUCGGGGCAUGGCGUUGAUGUCGGCUUGAACUACGUCGGUAUUUUCCCAAAGAGGAAGGGAUGAUGCAGCACAUCAACGAUAGGUAUUUUCCUCAGUGAUGAGACCAAGGUUAUUGAACCAGAAGGAGAACCACGCAACACCACCUAAACAGCUCCUCCACACAAAGAACAAAUACUUGCAACCCGACGUCGUAAACAGAUUGUCAGUCCCUUUCGGGUAACGGCGCCAGAAAUUGGCACGUGGAUGGGAGAAAGUUGUAGUAGAUUGAAUAAAUAGAUCACGAAUAAAAUAAAGUGCAGCAAAGUAUUUUUGUGUUUUUGGAUUAAUAGAUCUUAAAAUAAAAGCAAAUUAAAAUAGAUCUCAAAGGAAAAUAUAAUAAAGAAGAGACCCGGGGGCCGUAGAUUUCACUAGUGGCUUCUCUCGAGAAAAAUAGCAUACGAUGGGUAAACAAAUUACUGUUGGGAAAUUGAUAGAACUUCAAAUAAUCAUGAAGAUAUCCAGGCAAUGAUCAUUAUAUAGGCAUCACAUCCAAGAUUAGUAGACCGACUCCUACCUGUAUGUAGUACUAUUACUCCACACAUCGACCACUAUCCAGCAUGCAUCUAAUGUAUUAAGUUCAGGGAAAACGGAGUAAUGCAAUAAGAUUGAUGACAUGAUGUAGACAAGAUCUAUUUAUGUAUAAAUAUACCCCAUCUUGUUAUCCUUAAUGACAACGAUACAUACGUGUCGGUUCCUCUUCUGUCACUGGGAUCAAACACCGUAAGAUCGAACCCAUCACAAAGCACCUCUUCCCAUGGCAAGAAAAAUUGAUCUAGUCAGCCUAGCGAAACCAAAUAUUCAAAGAAGAAAUACGAGGCUAUAAGUAAGCAUGCAUAUAAGAGAUCAAAAGACUCGAAUAACUUUCAUGGAUAAAAACAUAGAUCUGAUCAUAAACUCAAAGUUCAUUGGAUCCCAACAAACACACCACAAAAGAGUUACAUCAAAUAGAUCUCCAAGAGACCAUUGUAUUGAGAAUCAAGAGAGAGAGAGAGAGAGAGAGAGAGAGGAAGCCAUGUAGCUACUAACUAUGGACCCGUAGGUCUACAAUGAACUACUCACGCAUCAUCGGAGAGGCACCAAUAAGGAUGAUGAACCCCUCCAUGAUGGUGUCUAGAUUGGAUCCGUGCUUUCUGGAACUUGCGGCGGCUGGAAUUGAUUUUCGUCAACUCCCCUAGGGUUUCUGAAAUAUUGGGGUAUUUAUAGAGCAAAGAGGCAGUGCAGGAGAAUGAUUGUAAAACAUCCAAGAAUGAUAAUAUGACAACAUGGAACAAUAAAAAAUUAUAGAUAUGUUGGAGACAUAUCAGCAUCCCCGAGCUUAAUUCCUACUCGUCCUCGAGUAGGUAAAUGAUAAAAACAAUUUUUUUGAUGUGGAAUGCUACCUAUGUUCAUCACAUAUUCUUUUCUUUGUAGCAUCGACAUUUGGACUUUUAUAUGAUUCAAAGCAAUAGUCUAGUUUCGACAUGAAGAUUUCAAUACCCAAGCAUAUCAACAAGCAACCAUAUCUUUCAAAAUAUCAACACUAAAUCAAGUUAUCCCUAGCCUAUUAUGCUCAAUCAUUGAUCCAUUCAUGAAACACACUCGCAUAUUAGCUACACCCAAUGCUCAAGUACGAUCAUAGUGCCCCUUAGAUGGUGCUUUAUAAGAGAAUAUGAAUACUCAAAUAAAAAUAAAAAUUGCAUAAAGUAAAAGAAAGGCCCCUCGUAGAGGGAAGUAGGGAUUUGUAGAGGUGCCAGAGCUCAAAGCGAAAAAAGUAGAGAUAAAAACAUUUUGGGUGGCAUGCUUUUCCUGUCAACGAAAAUGAUCGAGUAGUUCCCAAUACUUUCCAUGCUAGAUAUAUCAUAGGCGGUUCCCAUAUAGAAAAUAAACUUUAUUCCUUUUUCCACCAUACUUUCACAUUUCACGGCUAACCGAAUCCACGGGUGCCGUCCAUACCAACACUUUCUAAGGAAUUUAUUAUUUGACAACAUAAAGUAAAUUCUUUUUCAUUUUGGGACUGUGCAUCCCUAAUACCUUUGUUGUACUCUCAUGCAAUGACAAGUGAAUAAACACUCAUCUUAAGAAUAACACAUCUAGCAUGGAAAAAAAUCAGCCACCCCCUACCGUUUCAUGAGCGGUACGAGCACAUGAAAGAGAAAUUUAUUUUGAAAUUUAGAGAUGGCACAUACAAAUUUGCUUAGAACGGUACGGAAAUACCGCAUAUAGGUAGGUAUAGCGGACUCAUGUGGCAAAACUGGUUAGGAUUUUGGAUGCACAAGUAGUGAUCAUACUUAGUGCAAAUGAAGGGUAGCAAAAGACUGGGAAGCAUCCAACCAAGAAAUGAAAAAUCUCAUAAGCGAUCAUUAAGCAUAACUAACACCAAAUAAUGCACCACAAGUAGGACGUAAUUUCAUUGCAUAAUUAUUGACUUUCGUGCUUGCAUAGGGAAUCACAAACCUUAACACCAAUAUUCUUAAUAAAGCAUAAUUACUCAUCAACAUGACUCACAUAUUAUAUCAACAUAUCGCAAAACUAUUAUAAGGAAUCAAUUUUGUUUUUUCCAAUGAUCUUCAUAAAUUUUUUUAUUAUAUCCCUCUUGAAUAUCUAUCACUUUGGGACUAAUUUCAUAUGUUGCUUUUGAUAGCUCAAGCAAAUCUAAGUGAAGAACAUGAGCAUAAAAUUUUCUUCUCUCAAAAUAAUUUAAGUGAAGCAAGAGAGAAUUUCUUAAUUUUUUUUACUAACUCUCAAAUAGAUCCAAGUGACGCAUGUGAGUAUUUCUUCAAAAAUAAUAAAGCACAACAUGCUCAAAAACAUAUAAGUGAAGCACUAGAGAAAUUUCAUAGCUCAUAAAGAUUUAAGUGAAGCAUAGAGAGCAAUUUUAACAAGUCAUAGCAUACUUUUGGCUCCCUCAAAUAGGUGUGUCCAGCAAAGAUAGAUGACUUAAAACAAAAGGCAAAACAAGCAAAUACUCAUAUCAUACAAGACACUCCAAGCAAAACUCAUGAUAUGUAAACAAUAAAAAUAUAGCUCCAAGUAUAAUACCGAUGGUCGUUAGAAGAAAGAGGGUAUGUCACUUGGGGCAUCCCCAAGCUUAUUUUCUUGCUUCUCUUUUAGAUAAUAGCUUGGGAUGCCACGGGGCAUCCCCAAGCUUAGGCUCUUCUUACUCCUUAUUCCUUCAUCCAUCGUGAUCUCACCCAAAACUUGAAAACUUCAACCACACAAAACUCAACAAAACCUUCGUGAGAUCCGUUAGUAUAACAAAGCAAAUCACUACUAUAAGUAUUGUUGCAAACCCAUUCAUAUUUUAUUUUUGCAUUAUAUCUACUAUACUCCAACUUCUAUAUGGCUUAUACCCUCCAAUACAAACCGUAGAUUCGUCGAAAUAAGCACAAUACGCAAAGAAAACAGAAUCUGUCAAAAACAGAACAAUCUGUAGUAAUCAAGGAACUUCGUAUACUUCUGUAACUCCAAAAAUUCUGAAAAAUUAGGACAACGUGGAAAACUUGUAUAUCAAUCGUUUGUAAAACAAUUCAGAGCAAAAGCAUAUUUCUGUGAUUUAUGGAAAUUAUUUUUCUAAGUGCAAAAUUUCUCUUUUUCAACAAGAUCAAAUCAACUAUCACCCAACAUGAUCCCAAAGGCUUUCCCUGGUACAAACACUAACUAAAACACACAAAAAAAUCAUAAUAGUAGCAUAUUUGUGCAAACACUCAAGAACAGAAAGAAAAAGACAAAAAUAUAUUUUAUUCAUUGGGUUGCCUCCCAACGAGUGCUCUCGUUUUAUGCCCCUAGCUAGGUACAAUGCAUAGAUCUAAGUAUUGUCAUCUUUAGUUUCCAACUCUUCAAUCAAACACUUUGAAUUCUUCAAGGAUUUAGCAUAAAAAAAUUCAAUAACAAUACUUCUAGGAAAGAUAUUGAAAAAUUCAUUCUUGCAAGUAGGAUCUCUUAUAACUUCAACAAACUAAGGGUGAAUGCUAAUCAUCUUAAGAUCCUCUUUGUUACUAUUAGGAGUUGCACCCUUGUUUUUAGUGUCUUGAGUAAUCUUGCCUAUUUUGACUAGAGUUUUUUUCAAUAGUUUUAGCGGAGAAAAAAAUCUGUGCUUAGAGUACUAAAAAUUUCCUCCAACUUAUCAAUUCUAGCGGGACUCUCCUCUGUUCUUUCGUUGAAUGCGGGUUCCUUUUCUUUUACUCCCUCCGUUCCAAAAUAGAUGACUCAACUUUAUACUAACUUUAGUACAAAGUUAGUACAAAGUUGGGUCAUCUAUUUUGGAACGGAGGGAGUAGUACUUUAAGGGCAUCUCUUACUUUUGACCUAAUUCUAUUAGCAAGAUUGUGCAUCCUUUUAUCUAUUUUUCAAUAUUUUCUUCUGUGAGCAUUUUCUUUUCAAUAGCAUUUAGCCUCUCCAUAACAUGUUCGACAGUUAAAGUUGUUUCGUUCACCAAACGAGGUGGCGAUCCCACUAAAUUCCCCAUAGCAUUAAAUGCAUCAAGAUAGGGGCACAUCAGGAAAUUUCUAUCGGUAAUCGUAUCAAGGAAGAAUCUAUACCAAGUGGUGAUGCCCACAUAGAAACAGCAAAGAAGAACAACGGUAGAUUGCUUGCGAUAUAUCUAUUAUGAGCAUUGCAAAUCCUGUACCAAACAUCUUUUAAAUUCUCCCCUCCCCAUUUAUUAAAGUUAACAACCUCGUUCUCGGGGGUGCAAGUAAUAGAAUAAGAACUGUUCAUAACGAUAAAAAGUGGCAAACAAAAUUGCACACAAAAACAUAUCUGACGAGAAAACGGCGAACAAAAAAGAGGGCAAAUAAAACGACAAAUUUUUGUGAAGUGGGGGAGAGGAAAAUGAGAGGCAAAUGGAAAAUAAUGUAAAUUGCAAGGAGAUGAGAUUUGUGAUUAGGAACCUGGUAGAUGUUGAUGAUGUAUCCCCGACAACGGCGUCGGAAAUUCCUUUUGAUGUCGGCUUGAACUACAUCGAUAUUUCCCCAAAGAGGAAGGGAUGAUGCAGCACAACAACGGUAGUCAUUUCCCUGAGUGAUGGGAUCAAGGUUAUUGAACAGUAGGAAUUUUUGUGUUUUUGGAUUAAUGAAUCUUAAAAUAAAAGCAAAUAAAAAUAGAUCUCGAAGGCAAAUAUAAUAAACAAGAGACCCUGGGGCCGUAGAUUUCACUAGUGGCUUCUCUCGAGAAUAAUAGCAUACGGUGGGUAAACAAAUUACUGUUGGGCAAUUGAUAGAACUUCAAAUAAUCAUGAUGAUAUGCAGGAAAUGAUCAUUAUAUAGGCAUCGCGUCCAAGAUUAGUAGACCAACUCCUUUCUGCAUGUACUACUAUUACUCCACACAUCGACUGCUAUCCAGCAUGCAUCUAGUGUAUUAAGUUCAUUGAAAAAAGGAGUAAUGCAGUAAGAAUGAUGACAUGAUGUAGACAAGAUCUAUUUAUGUAGAAAUAGACCCCAUCUAGUUAUCCUUAAUGGCAACAAUACAUACGUGUCGGUUCCCCUUCUGUCACUAGGAUCAAGCACCGUAACAUCGAACCCAUCACAAAGCACCUCUUGCCAAGCCAAGAAAAAUUGAUCUAGUCAGCCUAACUAAACCAAAGAUUCCAAGAAGAAACAUGAGGCUAUAAGUAAGCAUGCAUAUAAGAGAUCAAAAGACUCGAGUAACUUUCAUGGAUAAAAACAUAGAUCUGAUCAUAAACUCAAAGUUCAUCGGAUCCCAACAAACACACCGCAAAAGAGUUACAUCAAAUAGAUCUCCAAGAGACCAUUGUAUUGAGAAUCAAGAGAGAGAGAGAGAGAGAGAGAGAGAGAGAGAGAGGAAGCCCUGUAGCUACUAACUACGGACCCGUAGGUCUACAAUGAACUACUCAUGCAUCAUCGGAGAGGCACCAAUGAGGAUGAUAAACCCCUCCAUGAUGGUGUCUAGAUUGGAUCUGUGGUUUCUAGAACUUGCGGCGGCUGGAAUUGAUUUUCGUCGACUCCCCUAGGGUUUCUGGCGUAUUGGGGUAUUUAUAGAGCAAAGAGGCGGUGAGAGAGGCGGACGAGGUGGGCACAACCGACCUGGGCGCGCCUAGGCCCCCAGGCGCGCCCUGGUGGGUUGUGCUCCCCUCAGAGCCCCCCUCAGGUACUUUCUUGGCGCAUCGUGUGUCCUCUAGUCCAAAAAAAAUCACCAAAAAGUUUCACUGCAUUUGGACUCGGUUUGGUAUUGAUUUUCUUCAAAGUAAAAAAACAAGCAAAAAACAGCAACUGGCCCUGGGCACUAUGUCAAUAGGUUAGUCCCAAAAAAUGAUAUAAAGUUGCUAUGAAAUGAUUGUAAAGCAUCCAAGAAUGAUAAUAUAAGAGCAUGGAACAAUAAAAAAUUAUAGAUAUGUUGGAGACGUAUCAGCCAUCCCCGGAUCCUUCGGCGAACGAGGGCGUUGGGCCCCAUGCGGUUGACGGCGCGUUGGGGUUCAUGACGUCAGGGAGGUUCCUGCGAGGGGAGAGAGGGAGGGCUGAGAGGAGAGGAAUGGAAGAAGGGAAGGAAGGAGGAGAAGGGCAAGGGCGCGAGCGACGCGAGGUUGGGACUCCGGUGGUCUGGCUGGCUGGCGGGGCUGCUCUCCUGCUCAGGAUCGAGCAAGAAGGAGACUACAGGGAUGGGGCAUCCUAUCCUAUUGCUUGGGGCGGUCAGGGUCGCUGGAUCCUCGAUCUAAUGGCUCACAAUGAGUGGAGGUUUCUGCAUUGGAUCUGGUUGGAUUGGACAGGAGGGGAAAUCGAGGUGGAGACCAGGUGGGCGGCGGCGUGCUCGGGAUUGGAGGGAGUUUAUCUGGCUAGGGUCUAGGGUUAGCCACUAAUGUGAAGGAAAUAUGCCCUAGAGGCAAUAAUAAAGUUGUUAUUUUAUAUUUCCUUAUUCAUGAUAAAUGUUUAUUAAUCAUGCUAGAAUUGUAUUAACCGGAAACUUGAUACAUGUGUGGAUACAUAGACAAAACACCGUGUCCCUAGUAAGCCUCUACUAGACUAGCUCGUUAAUCAAAGAUGGUUAAGUUUCCUAACCAUGGACAUGCGCUGUCAUAUGAUGAAUGGGAUCACAUCACAAGAGAAUGAUGUGAUGGAAAAGACCCAUCCGUUAGCUUAGCAUAAUGAUCGUUCAAUUUUAUUGCUAUUGCUUUCUUCAUGUCAAGCACAUAUUCCUCUGACUAUGAGAUUAUGCAACUCCCGGAUACCGGAGGAAUGCCUUGUGUGCUAUCAAAUGUCACAACAUAAUUGGGUGAUUAUAAAGAUGCUCUACAGGUAUCUCCGAAGGUGUUUGUUGGGUUGGUAUAGAUCGAGAUUAGGAUUUGUCACUAUAUGUACCGGAGAGGUAUCUCUGGGCCCUCUCAGUAAUACACAUCAUAAGAAGCCUUGCAAGCAAAGUGACUAAUGAGUUACUUGCAGGAUGAUAUAUUACGGAAUGAGUAAAGAGACUUGCCGGUAACAAGAUUGAACUAGGUAUGAAGAUACCAACGAUCGAAUCUCGGGCAAGUAACAUACCGAUAGACAAAGGGAAUUACAUAUGUUGUCAUAAGGUUCGACCGAUAAAGAUGUUCAUAGAAUAUGUAGGAGCCAAUAUGGGCAUCUAGGUCCCGCUAUUGGUUAUUGACCGGAGAGGUGUCUCGGUCAUGUCUACAUAGUUCCCGAACCAGUAGGGUCUGUACGCUUAACGUUCAUUGACGAUAUAGUAUUAUAUGGGUUAUGUAUGUUGGUGACCGAAUGUUGUUCGGAGUGCCGGAUGCGAUCACAGACAUGACGAGGAGCUCCGGAAUGGUCUGGAGGUAAAGUUUCAUAUAUUGGAUGAUAUGGUUAGGCCAAGGGGUCAGGCCUACGGGGCGAUAAGUCGGUGCAAAAGGAUGUUUUGCAGAGGUCAGGGUCCAAACGACGGAGACCUUGGUGGGCAUUUGGUCCUGGAGUCUGAGUCAGACUCUUGCCUUUCGGGCAAAACUGACUUUGAGGAGGUUUUUGCUCCAAGUCUCGACCCCAGGGCUCAACAUGUAAAUAGAGGGGCGGGGCUAGCACCAAAGGGACAUCAAGAUUCACCCAGUCGUGUGUCGGCAACACCGUCCCCUCUAGUUUAUCCUCCGUCAUAGUUUCCGUAGUACUUAGGCGAAGCCCUGCGAAGAUUGUUCUUCACCAACACUGUUACCACGCUAUCGUGCUGCCAGAGCUCAUCUAUUACUUCACCUGUCUUGCUGGAUCAAGAAGGCGAGGGCGUCAUCGAGCUGAACAUGUGCUGGAUGCGGAGGUGUCGUAUGUUUGGUACUUGAUCGGGAUGGACUGUGAAGGUGUACGACUACAUCAACCACGUUGAUAAACGCUUCCGCUUAGCGAUCUUCAAGGGUAUGAAGAUGCUCUCCCUCUCUCAUUGCUAUGCUUCUCCUAGAUAGAUCUUGCGUGGGCAUAGGAAUUUUUAUGAAAUUGCAUGCUAUGUUCUCCAACGGUGGCAUCCGAGCCAGGUCUAUGUGUAGAUGAUAUGCACGAGUAGAACACAAAGAGUUGUGGGCGGUGAUCUUCAUACUGCUUACCACCAAUGUCUCAUUUUUAUUCGGCGGUAUUGUUCGAUGAAGUGGCCUGGACCAACCUUACAUGACCAUGUUCAUGAGACCGGUUCCACUGACAGACAUGCAACUAGUUUUGCAUAAAGGUGGCUGGCGGGUGUCUGUUUCUCCUACUUUAGUUGAAUCAAAUUUGACUAUGGCCGGUCCUUGUUGAAGGUUAAAACAACAAACUUGAUAAAUCACCAUUGUGGUUUUGUGCCGUAGGUAAGAACGGUUCUUGCUAGAAGCCCGUAGUAGCGACAUAAAAUUUGCAACAACAAAGUAGAUUACAUCUAACUUGUUUUUAUAGGGCAUGUUGUGAUGUGAUAUGGCCAAGACAUGAUGUGAUAUAUGUUGUUGUUUGAGAUGAUCAUGUUUUGUAAAAGUUAUCAGCGACUGGAAGGAGCCUUAUGCUUGUCACUUUAUUGUAGAGUGUUUCCUAUGACUCAAGAAAGAGAAAAGGAAACUAAAAACACAAAAGUCUUCACGCUUCAUAAUCCUCGCAUGACUAUCCAAGUCUUCAAGGUCACACUAAUUUCUUCACUUUCAAAAUCUUCAGGAGAACCAAAGUCUUGAGCUGAAGACAUACAUUUUUACGGGUCGACUUUCAUCAUAAAUAUUAAACUCCUCAUUGACUUAUAGAGCCUGUGUACACUCACAGACAUAUUAGUCCCUUAACCUAUAAGUCUUCAAUACACCAAAAUCACUAAGGGGCACUAGAUGCACUUACAAUCUCCCCCUUUUUGCUGAUUGAUGACAAAUAGGUUAAGUUUUCAAUGGGGAUAAACAUAUAAAUUGAAAGUGCUAAGAAUUGAGGAAUUUGAUGCAAGAUAUAGAAGAACUCCCCCCUGAAGAUCUGCAUAUGUGAGGAAUUUGCUUUCAAAGAGCAAUGCACAUUGAAGAGUAGAAUCAUGGGGAUCUCCCCCUAUAUCUUGUAAUUCAUACACGCAUUUAACAUAUCGAAUGAAGAAUUUGAAAUGAAUGAUGAAAUAUGGUGACUGAUGUAAUUCAGCAUGCAUGCAAUAACAUAUAUGAGGAAAUAGCAUGCAGAAAACAGAGCAAAAGUAUCAGACCACCAUAGGACUUAAGUUUACAACUCGAUCCAACAAAUACUUCAGAAGAGCGAGAGUUGUAACUUAACAAAAAAACACCCAAAUAUAUAGAACCGCUUGAAGACUAACUCAAAUUUCUCUCCCUUUGUCAUCAAAUGACCAAAAGGGACGAAAAGUGAGGACUAACGCCCCUGAAGAAUAUCAUAAUGAUUUCGAUGCAGGAGCGCCAAUGUUGUUGGGGCCGUCCGUUGUUGUAGGGCUUGCUGCAGUGUCGUCCAAAUCUUUAGCUUUGUCCGUCGCGUGUGAUGAAGAAUAUGAGCUGACGACCAGCUAAGGAACUUUGACCUUCUUGAAUUUCUUCGAAGGUGGCUGAGACCAGUCAAAGUCCUGUCGGAAGUCCAUCUCCUUGAGUGCAUCGCCAGUGUAGAUAUGUGAAAGAAUAGCCCAGGUGCGGUCAAAGACUUGAUGCAGAUAGUAGUGAUUUUUCUUCACAGAGUUUUGAGUGGCAGUCAUGUUCUGAACAAUUGCACCAAACUGACGCUUGACCCACUUGUGAUUUCUAUCCACCUUCUGAUGAAGACUUAGGAGCAACUCACGAUCAGUCAUCACUCGUGGAGCAGUGGCCUGAGGAUUUUGCUUUGAAACAUUUGCAGCAGUGUCAUGAGUGGUAGAGUCAUCAUUUGUAGAGUAGGAUGCUACCUUUCGAAAUUGUCCAUCCAAAGGACGAAUGCAUUCAUCAAUAAUUGCAACCUUACCCUUCUCAUCAGCCGAGGUAAUAGUCCGCUUGAGGACUUCAAGUGGUGGAAAAUAGCUGAGAUGAUUCUGAAAGUUAUCCUUGUAAUGAAUUGAAGUCCUUGAUAUGAUGGAUUUCAUGAUCCAGGGAACGUAAGGCUUCAACUCAAAAGGUGAAAAAGCUGCAUUGGCCAAAGUCCUCAUGAAGAAGUCAUGAUAGUUGAUUGGGAUGCCAUGCAUGAUGUUGAAAAGCAAGUUCUUCAUGAUGCCAACAACAUCUUCUUCUUCUUCAGAGUUGUGGCCCUUAAUGGGACUGAGGGUCUUGGCUAGAAUGCGAUAGACAGUCCCUGGCAGAUACAUCAAAUCCUUGACAAUGAAAUUUGUCCUUGGAGCUUGGCCAGCCUUCAAAGGCUUCAUCAGCACUUGCAUCAGAUGAUUCUAUAGUUCAGGUUCUUCAUAGAGCUUCAGUGCUCCUUCAGUGGGCGGACUGACUGGGACGACGUGAAGCAAUUCAGAAGCCAGAGCUUUGUGAUGAGUAUUUUCUGUCAUGCAAUCCAGAACCCAUGAAUUCACAUCGUCAACAUUGCCAGUCAAAUGCAAAGUGGCAUAGAAAUGAAGAAUUAGCUCUUCAUUCCAGUCGCAGAUGUCUAUGCAGAAGUUGAGCAGCCCUACGUCAUGAAGAACAAUGAGGACUGGAGUGAAACAUGGAAGUGACCCCAUAUCCACAUGAGGAAUUUGCAUAUGGUCAAACACUUUUUCUUUGUCAAACGGUAGUGUUGAAUAGAAGUUCAUCUGAGAAGCAGUCCAGCAGCGCUUGCGGCGUAGGCAAGCAGAGUCAUAUGGAUUAAAAUCUGAGAAGAAAUGGCGCUCAACAAAGAAGUCAUCAGCCUUGAACUUCUGCUUCUUGGAGUGAGGAUUCUGUGGCUUCGGCUGAAGAUUUGCAGUGAAAGUCUUCACAGCCGAUUGAAGCACAACCUCUGGAGCCUCGGGCUGAGGAAUCUCUGGAGCAGUUUCUUCUUCUGUCUUCUUCUCCAUUUCAUCAGCACUAGUGGUUGGAACUUCUUCAGGGAUGGAGUGAAGCUAAGCUUAAUGUUGAUCAGAACCCGUGUGAAUUUCUUUAGUUUACAUGUGGGAUGGAUUAAUUUUUUGUAGAGGAGUGGUCAGAGGCGAAUUGGGAUGAUGACUUUCCCAAUAAUCACCAUUCAUCACUGGAGUCGUAGACCCGAUGUCCAUAUCCUCUUCUUCAGCUUCAACUUCUUCAACACCGGCCUCUUCAACAGUGAACUGAGGCAGCAGCAAUGAUACUUGUAGCAGUGAAGGGAUAUUAUCCACUUCAAUUUCAUCAUCCAACUACUCUGACGAAGCAGCAGAUGGAUUUUCUUCAUCAAUGUCAUCAGUGAUGAAAUAUUCUUCACAUGUCAAUGUACAAAAGUAUGGGCACUUCUAUACCCCUUACUAGUGCAUGAGCAGUCGCAGCCACACCUGCAGCAGGGCCUGGCAAGGCAGGGGAAAGCAAAGCCCGAAGACUACCAAAACAGACACUCGAAGCACGAGGGGUGAGGGGCAAGCUGGACCACCCACGGCAAGGGCCUUAUCGGGCAACCUGCACCAGCACCAGCAAGACCAUCACCCUUGGGGCUGAUAGCUCUGACACCAUCGACAAUGUUAAGACCAAAAUCUGGAAAGUGCAUGCUCGAUAGCAUGCAAUUCCUCAUAAAGAUUGACGACCCACAGAUCCACGUGGGACCAGAAGACGAAGACCCCCAGCAAGAACCUUGCCGGGGAGGACUCCAAGGCCCCGGCAAGCCUUGCGGGGGACGACCGCUGUGCCGCGGCCAGAUUCGUGCCUAAGAAGGUUUCACCACUUCACCAGCACUCCAGUGCAAUGAUAGCCAAGCUAACUAAGCAGGCACCUGUGUGGAGGCAUGCAGAUCUUCGUGGAAGCUUACCAUUGUGCCAACGCAGAAGCUAGUUAGCCAUCAUGGCAUUGCAUGCCUUCUCAACUUGGAUGCACGUCAAGGUGAGAAGGAGCGGCGAAGGAUGAGAUGGCCUCUGUUGUCGUCCCCAAUAAAGCGAGAGGACAUGUAGGCAACGCAUUAAAUGCGCUUGUCCUACGUUGAUUGAGUGAUAAGCUCAUACAACUGUAGCUUGCCACCUCCUGUGUGCCACUAUGGCAACCCCUUUGCAUAUAAUAGGAGGCCCGAGGCAUACAAAGAGAGGAUUCAGACUUUUGGACAAAGCAAGCACCGUAGCUAGUUCAAAGGCUCAAGAACACACAUAUAACCAGACAAGCAGGACUAGGGUAUUACGCAUCUUUGCGGCCCGAACCUGGAUUAAAAAUCCCCUGUGUGCUAACGGCUCGACCUGCUCUUCGUGCAACUAAUCCCCCGCCGAAUGUAGAAGGGAUCCUUGUUACCUCAUAGGUGAUCGGUUUCCCCGACAUCACCAAACGGAACAAUUUCCUUAUGGCAUGAUAGUCAACGGAACUGCAUCGAUUGGAUUCUCAAAAGAGCUCGUCAAGUUUUCACUUUCUUCGGAGCUGAAGACUCUAAGGCGUCUGAUGCUUUCCUCUUCUUUGCUGCUGCCCUUUUGGCAGCCUUGGUUUUCUUCUCUUCUGAUGCAGAAGGAAGUAGAGUGCUUUUCAUCUAUGAAGACUUUGCAGGGGGAGCAGAUGAAAGAGGCACAGUUUCUUCAGGCACAACUGUUUCAGUUUCCCUGGCAGGUUCAGAUUCUUCAGGCACAGUGGCAGAUUCUUCAGCUGGCCUGGAUUGAUCUUCAGGCGCAACAUUGGUGGUUGCCCUGGCAGUUUCAUCAGGAGCUAGAAUAGCAUCAUCAGCCCUGGCACUCUCAGUUUCUUUAGCAGCCUGAGUUUCAUCAGCGGUGCUGGCAUGUUCUUCAGUGGGCUGAGCAGAUGCUUCACCAUGAGGAAUUUCUUGUUGCGCUCCAGCAGCAACAUUGGGCUUUAGGCCUUUUGCCAGCUUGACGAAUCUGACUUUGGCACCUAGUCAAUCAGCUUUAUAUGCGUCAAAUUCAGCAUUGAGUGCUUUUAUUUCAGAUUGGAUAGUCACAAGUUCUUCAGUUGUCAUUUUCAGGACAUUUUUCUCCAGAUAAUGCUCCUUCUUGUAUUGAGCUUUCUUCACUGAUCUAGCCUUCUCAAACUUCCAUUUUUCUUCAGGAAUGAAAGUAGUCAACACGUGACUUUGUCCUGGUGUGCCAAUGCAGUAGCUAGUUAGGGAGCGUGGCAUUGCAUGCCUUGUCAACCUGAACGCAUGUCAAGGCGAGGAGGAGCGAUGAAGGAUGAGAUGGCCUCUAUUGCCGUCCCCAAUAAAGCGAGAGGACACGUAGGCAACACAUUAAAUGCGCUUGUCCUACAUUGAUUGAGCGAUAAGCUCAUACAACUAUAGCUUGCCACCUCUUGUGUGCCACUGUGGCAACCCCUUUGUAUAUAAAAGGAGGCCAGAGGCAUACAGAGAGAGGAUUCAGACUUUCGGACAAAGCACACACCGUAGCUAGUUAAAAGGCUCAAGAACACACAUAUAACCAGACAAGCAGGACUAGGGUAUUACACAUCUUCGGCCUGAACUUGGAUAAAAAAACCCUGUGUGCUAAUGGCUCGACCUGCUCUUCAGACAACUAGUCCCCCGCCGAACAUAGAAGGGAUCCUUGUGACCCCAUAGGUGAUCAGUUUCCUCAACAUCUUUGGCGUGCCAGGUAGGGUAGUUUAGUUGUGAGAAUCUGGUCCAUAGUUAGUAUAGUAGUUCCUUCAUCGCCUUGGCUCCGAAGAAGAAGACGACCGCAACGAUUGGCCCGUCCGGGGCCGCUCCGCCCGCACCUGCGUGGACAGGCGACACGGAUGGCACUAGUGGUGGAGGAGAUCGAGAUCGUCCACACCAUCCGAAUACAAGAAGCCAGGCAGCCGGCAUCCUCCGUUGUGACGAUGGUGGUCAGCGCCCCACCGUGCCAAGGGAUGGAGCCAUGCUACCCGCGGGUUGUGCGGGGACCUCCAAGGGAAGGAGGUCGACCUUGCCAACGCACGCGUCGCGGUCCUCUCAGCUCAUGCGUGACGAACCGCGCUACGAUGUUGAAGACCCCGGGCGUCGUCGCGGCAAAAGCCCUCAGCGUCACUCUCAAGACACGCAGGGCUGAUAUGCACGCCAUGAUGUUGGCGAAAGAGCGCGCGGCCGCGGAAUCGUGAUGGGACUCCUUCUAACAUAGUUAGAAGUCCGAGUUCCUCCCAUUCCUCGCACUUGUCGCUACCACCCAUGCGAGCAGAAGCACUGUCGCGCGCGCAACUGCUCCUCAACUUUCCUCCUGCCUUGGAGAAGCAAGAAGAGUGGAGGGCUUCCAUCCAAAGCCUUAUUGGCCAUGCUAACAGGGAUGGCCACCGGGGAGCAAGCCCCUCGCGGCGCCGGAAUGAUGAGCCGACGCGUGUAGGCAGUGGAAGGGCUGAGGGUGCAAUGACCACGGUGCACUCCCCUCCACCACGGUCGGCCCGUCGGGGUGACGCCCGGUACAACAUGUCCACGGUGUCGUCGGACCCACUGACGCACCGUGACCAACGUCAAGUUUUUCGAGAGCGCCUCAAGGAGGAGCCCGGACUACUAUCGAGCGGCGACGGGAAGCACGUCACCAGUCUGAUAGGGGUGCUAGGCCUACUGCAUACAAGCCCGCCAGGGGAUGCUGGCGACUUGCCCUAUGCAAUAACAUGUCCAGCAUUCACCCAUGAGUUGCGGCAGUUCGAGUGGCCCAACACCCACGUGUUCAAACCGGAGGUCCCGGAGAAGUAUGACAGCAAAACUCAUCCGUCCGGGUGAGCAUUUACACCAUCGCGAUGCAAGCUGCCGGGGCACGAGACGACAAGGUACUCGCCAACUAUUUCCCGUUGGCACUCAAACCCAACAUCAGGUCAUGGUUGAUGCACUUUCCAAUAGACUCCAUCUCCUCUUGGUCCAAUCUUUGCCACGAGUUUGUUGGUGCCUUCAUGGGCGGCCACGUAGCUCCUGGACAUGCAAGUGAUUUGCACGUGAUCCCUUAGAGGGAUGGCAAGUCCUUGCACAAGUACAUACAGAGAUUCGGCCGUGUGCAGUACAACAUCCGUGACAUUCAUCUCGCCGCUAUCAUCAGCGGUUCCAUCAGAACAUGUGCAAUCGCAUGAUCCGUGAAGAGUUGGCCAUGAACAAGGUUGUAGAUGUUGCCGAGUUGUACAUCUUGGCUGACAGAUGUGCCCAAGCUGAGGAAGGAAGGAAGUACCCCGGCGAGGAUGCUGACGUGGGAAGUGAGUCAGAAGAUGAAGACGUCGUCGCCCCGGCAAAGAAGGGCCGGCGAUGCAACAAGAAGCGCAAGGGCAAGACCGUGCUUGCCGUCGAGGAAUCCAGCGACCCCAACACUGCCAAGAAGGCCAAGGUUGAUGACCCUGGAAAGGAUAUUGCCGGGUGCAACGCCUGCUGGGCUUUGGCGGCUGCCGGCAAGUCAGAGGGUUCCGACAAGCAGUACUGCAAGAUUCACCGUACCAAGGGCGACGACCUCCAGAACCUCCGCCAAGUGGAGCUACUGAUGGAGAAGCAAAGGGUUGAGUACGAGAGACGAGACAAGGAGAAGGGCCAAGGAGGCGCUGAAGGGUCUAGCAAGAAGCGCGACGGCAAAGGAGGACACGACAACAAGGAGAAGCAACAAGAGAGGCAUGCCCGAGGCCGUGACAAGAAAGAGGAGGAUGAUGAUUAUAAUGAUGAUGACGAAUCCAUCGAGCACGAGUUCUAGAAAGCGACAGAAGUCAUGUGUGUUGAUGGAGGUGCUUCGUUGCAUUCUUCCCACCACCAAUUGAAACAAUGGGCGCGUGAGAUUAAUGCAACGGAACCGAUGGUCGCGCUUAGAAGCCGUUGAGGUGGUCCCACACACCUAUCGUUUUUGACGCUGAGGAUCACCCUGAUCGCACAACUACGGUCAGGUGUUUGCCGUUGUUGGUAUCCCCAACAAUAUGCAACCUCAAGGUGACGAAGAUGUUAGUUGACGGUGGGGUAGUCCUUAACUUGAUCUCGCCGAACAUGGUCAAGAGGCUGCAGAUCCCCGAUGAAGAUCUCUAGGAGACAGGCAUGUUCCAAGGGAUCAAUCUGGGGAGGAGUCAGCCCAAGGGAAAGGUCACGCUUCUAGUUACGUUUGGUGGCGACCUCAACUACAGGACAGAGAGGAUCAUUUUCGAUGUCGCCGAGAUCCCGUUAACAUACAACGUGAUCCUUGGCCGCCCAGCGCUGGCCAAGUUCAUGGCAGCAUCGCACUACGCCUAUAACAAGCUGAAGAUGCCUGGCCCGAUGAGCAUCAUCACCGUUGGCAGCGAUAGGAAGGAUACGCUCAUUUGCACCGAUCAGCUCUAUCGAGAGGCGGUUGCAGCGUCCACCGCCAAGACACCUACUCCUACCGCCGAGAAGAAGACCAGUAAGGCCUCGGCCGCCGGCAAGACUCCUGGCUCCGGCAAGGGUUCCUGUAGUCACUCCGGCAGACGCACCCCUUCAGGGUGCUGUGUUCCCACUGAGGACGUUCCAGAGAGCUCUACCAGCAAGAGCAAGAAGUCUAAAGCGGCCCUGCCGGAAACCAACAAGGUGUCCGUCAAGGAGGAUGGCACGGGCGGAGCUUUUACCAUAAGCUCCACCCUUGACAGCAAAUAGGAAAGCGCGAUCAUAGGCUUCCUACAGGCGAAUGUCGACGUGUUUGCAUGGCAAGAAUCCGACAUCCCCAGCGUUCCCAGGGAGGUGGUUGAGCACCGUCUUGCUGUCUUCCCUCAUGCACGAACUGUCAAGCAAAAGGUCAGAAAGCAAGCUUUGGAGCGACAAGACUUUAUCAUCGAGGAGAUCAGGAAGUUGGAGGUGGCAGGUUUGGUCAAGGGAGUUCUCCACCCGACAUGGUUGGCCAAUCCAUUAGUAGUACUUAAGGCGAAUGGGUAGUGGAGGCUUCAUAUCGACUAUACUGAUAUCAAUAAAGCCUGAUAUUGGACUCCACUGUUAGGUGCGACUUGCUGUCGUUCCUUGAUGCUUACUCAGGAUAUCAUCAUAUCUUCAUGACGAAGGAAGAUGAAGAGAAGACCGCAUUCAUCACCCCAUGUGGUACGUACUGUUUUAUAUGAAUGCCUUUCAGGUUGAAGAGCGCUGGUUCGACAUUCGCCCGAGUGGUCCAAAUUGGUUUUGAGCCCCAGCUCCAUAGAAAUAUGGAAGCCUACAUGGAUGAUACAGUGGUUAAAACCAAGGACAGGGCCAUGCUCGUGCAGGACCUGGAAGAAACUUUUGCAAACUUGCGCAGGAUCAACCUCAAGCUCAACCCAGAGAAGUGCGUGUUCGGUGUUCCGUCCGGCAAACUUCUUGGGUUCUUUGUGUCUCAACAUGGAAUCGAAACAAAUCCCGACAAGAUCAAAGCAAUUGAACAGAUUGAGGCGCCAAGAUGAGUCAAGGAUGUCCAAAGGCUUGACGUCUGCGUCGCCGCCCUAAGUAGGUUCAUCUCUAAAUCUGCUGAGCGUGCCCUCCCCUUUUUCAAGAUUCUGAAAAAGGCGGGUCCAACGAAAUGGACCCCGGAGGCAGAGGCAGCACUGCAAGAUCUGAAGAGAUACCUCUCCUCUAUGCCAAUACUGGUCACGCCCAAGCCACAAGAGCCGUUGCUGCUGUACCUGGCGGCAACAAAUCAAGUGGUCAGUGCUACACUAGUGGCACAGAGAGAAGUUGAGGAGGAAGCAACGGCAGCGGCAAGGCCCUUAGGUGCAUAACUGGGUCUGGCAGGGCCUGAUCCCGGCGAGGGAGGAUCCCCGGCAGGACCUGAGCCCUGCAGGGAGGGCCCCCCGACAGGAUCCGAUCCUGGCAAGGCAGUGUUUGUGCAAGCAAGCAAGGUGAAACGGAAGAAAAAGGUGGUGUAGCACCCCAUCUACUUUGUCAGCUCCCUCUUGCAGGGGGCUAGGUCGAGGUAUUUUGACACGCAGAAGUUGCUUUUCAGCCUUCUUAUGGCCUCGAGGAAGCUACGCCACUAUUUUCAAGCGCACGAGAUCACCUUCGUCACUCGCCUCCCAUUGCAACAAAUUUUGCACAAUCCAGAUGCAACAGGGAGGAUUGUGGAGUGGGUAGUGGAGCUGUCAAGCUUUGUGCUCAGAUUUGAAAGUACCUCGACGAUCAAGAGCAGAGCUUGGCAGAAUUCAUAGCAGAAUGGACAUCCAUGCCCGACGAAGAAGUUCAAGAAACCACCCUUCCCGGCAAAGAGGCAAGUAGUCAUUGGAUUAUGUACUUCAAUGGAGCUUUCUCGUUACAAGGUGCUGGUGCCGGCGUGUUGCUCAUCGCAUCCGCCGGAGAACGCCUCAAGUACGUGAUCCAGAUGCACUUCCUUCGGGAGAGGUCGACAAACAACACUGCAGAAUACGAGGGGCUGCUUGCUGGUCUCAGGAUCGCGGCGGACCUUGGGAUCAGGAAGCUUAUUAUCAGAGGAGAUUCACAACUUGUCGUCAGGAAAGUUAACAAGGAUUAUAAGAGCCCGCUAAUGGAGGCUUACGUGGAUGAAGUGAGGAAUUUGGAAGAGCUCUUUGACGGUCUGCAAGCGGAGCAUGUUCCUCGGGCAGAGAACAGCAUCGCCGAUGACUUGUCAAAGCGCGCCACCCACAAGCUACCUGUGGAACCAGGUACCUUUGUGCUUCAAUUGACUCAGCCAUCCGUAGAACCAUCAGCAGGAUAGAACAAGAGAAGGAAGGCGGGGCCAGCAAGUACUUUCUCGAAGAGCUCCCAGGAGCCGCCGGCAAAGAAGUUGCUGGGUACCCCAAGCUUGCCGAGGAGCAGCAGCCCCCGCCAGGGCCCCAGGCCCUUACCGUCGAGGCAGCUGCCCCCACAGCGGAAAACAUGCCUUUGGUCCUUGGUGUCGAGCCUCAGGCUCCAGCAUGGGCACAACAUACAAUCCGUUUCCUCCAAACAGGGGAGCUCCUUGAGAAUCAAGAAGAAGCAGAGAAAGUAGCCCGUCGGUCUAGCAUGUACCAGUUUCUGGAUGAUGUCCUUUAUAGAAGAAGACCGAAAAUCGUGAAAUUGUAGUGUAUUCCUUAGAAGGACGGACUAGAGCUGUUGGCAGAGAUACACGGAGGCAUAUGUGGCUCCCACAUAGGGUCAAGAGCCCUUGCCGAAAAAGCAUUCCGGCAAGGUUUCUUUUGGCCCACUGCACUCUAGCAUGCGACAACACUAGUAACCAAGUGUGAAGCGUGCCAAUUACAUUCAAAGAAGCUUCAUCAACUAUCUCAAGCCCUUCAAACAAUCCCUCUCUCCUAGCCACUUUUAGUCUGGGGGCUCGACAUACUGGGCCCCUUUCCCUAUGCUGUCGGAGGCUUUGAGUACUUGUAUGUCGCGAUUGACAAGUUCACAAAGUGGCCGGAAGUGGAGCCAGUGAGAAAGGUGACAGCGCAGUGGGCCGUCAAGUUCUUCAAGGGACUCAUUUGCCAUUUUUGUGUGUGAAAUAGAGUCAUCACCGACAAUGACACACAGUUCACGAGCCGCACCUUCAUGCAAUAUAUCCAAGACCUUGGCAGCAAAGUUUGCUUUGCUUCCGUUGCUCAUCCAAGGAGCAAUGGCCAAGCGCAAAGGGAAAUUGCUGAAGUGUUGCAAGGCCUCAAAACAAGAACUUUCGACAGACUGCGAGUGUGGAAGGCGCUGGAUUGAUGAGUUGGCAACGGUUCUUUGGUCAAUCAGAACGACACCAAAUCAAGCUACUGGCCAGACACCCUUUGCCCUGGUCUACGGGGCAAAAGCAGUUCUCCCCAAUGAACUCAUAUACAGGUCACCUCGAGUGCUCAAUUAUGAUGAGCUUUAGCAAGAGUAGUUGCGCCAAGAUGAUGCGAUGCUCCUUGAGGAAGAUCGUUUUUGAGCUGCUGUGCGAGGUGCUCGCUACCAGCAAGCCUUGCACCAUAGCCGCAAGGUUCACGCCCGAAGCCUUGAGGAAGGCGACCUUGUUCUUCGGCGCGCUCAGUCUGCAAGGAAUUCAAACAAGUUGACGCGAAAGUGGGAAGGCCCCUAUCGGGUAAUACGAGUCACCAGGCCCGGUGCAGUCCGCCUGGAGACUGAAGAUGGCAUUCCAGUGAGCAAGUCCUGGAAUAUCAAACAUCUUCACAAGUUUUACCCAUAGGGCGCAGUUGUCGGGAGCUCCGACAAUCCCCCCUUUUUACUAGCCUUGCCGGCAAGGCAUGUAACCCCAUGUACAGAGAUCGGCGUAGAUCCUGCGUCCAGCCAGGUAGUUUUUAACAUGUACCAUUUCCUGCUAGUUUCCAUUUAUAUAUAUAUAUAUAUACACACACACACACAUACAUAAACACUAUUUUGAUCACGGGAUCAGAAUAAUAUUCUGAUCACAACCAAAACUGCGUGAGUAACGCGCCUGAACUUCUCUCUGUACGAACCCGACCUUCGGACUAUCUUCGCAACCGUGCCUUCUACCGCGAGUUUUUCUGUUUGGCGUGUUCCAUGUGAUGUAAGUGUAAUCUUCAAAUGAUUUUUAGCAACUAAAUACUUGUUUUAGAUAGGAAUCUCGCUCAUAGGCGGAUUUUGCACUCGGGUCGUGAAGAACUCACGUUUUUUGCGAUUUUACUGCCUGAGUUGUUCGACCUGAACUUCCCCAUGUGCUAGGUUGAACUUCCUGUAACAUUUCCCAAACGGGGCUUGCUAUAUACCGUUGGAAAGCUAUGGACACGAGUAUCAAGACCCAAGUUAAAUUUUUCGCAAAAUGUAAGCGGUUUAAGAGCAGUUUUGAAAACCGUUUUUUCUUCACACAAAAAACAUGAAUCGUAUUUUCGAUCACAUUUCUAAACCAUUUAUCGGAAUUAGGCAUAUAAUAUGGCGUUGGAAGGCUGCUGCAAAACCGCUCCUUCCACAUGUUGAAAGUUUUUUCUAAUUCCCUAUGGUUAAAGAGUAAUUUGAAAAAACGUAAAAUUUCCUAAACCGAACAGCUGAGUUCGUUUUUUCAAUGUCAUUUCUAAAAGGCUAAUCCAAUGGAGGCAUAUGAUAUGGCGUUGGAAAGCUUAUGAAAAUGCGCUACUUUUUCAUCUUGGAAGUGUUUUUCUAAUUUUGAAUGGUUUAAGAGUAAUUUAGAAAAUGGUUCAAGUCCUUCCGAGUUUGUAUUUUCAAGCUAAUUUUUUAACCGUGCAUCCGAAUGCAGCAAAUGAUAUGGCGUUGGAAAGCUUGAACAAAUGCGAAACUUUUUGGUAUGUAUUGUUUCUCCCAAUUCUUUACGGUUUUAAGUCACUUUUGAAAAUGGCGAAAACGUAUUUUCACUGUAAUUUCUACAAACUUUGUCGAAAUUGGGCAAAUAAUAUACCGUUGAAAAGCUACGAAAAAUGCAAAACUUUUUCAUGUUGAUGGUUUUCUCUGAUUCCUAGCCGUUUGCAAGUAAUUCCGAAAACGGCGGGAUCAUUCGUUCUGCCUCUAUCGCGAAACAGAUUCUUCGAAAAUGCACCGCGUGAAGAACCUGAACUUCUCGGUGCGUGUCCCUGAACUUCACUCUGUUUUUCACGUGAUUUUUUUGCUCGUAGCUCUUCAUCCACUGCUCGUAGCUCUCCAUCCACUCACUGGAAUUGAGCAAGUGAUAUACCGAUGGAAAGCUAUUAUAAACACGCAAAUUUCCCAUGUUGAUCAUUUUUUCAUACUCGCAACGAUUUUAAAAGUUUUUCAUCUCAAAUUCAUUCAGUGUAGUAGGUGAACUUCCUGCUGUUUUCACGUUGAACUUCUGUGACGUAUUCUCGUUUGUAAUUUUCUCAUCCAUUUUGUCAGUGUUACACAAAUGAUAUUCUUUUUGUACAAACCUCUCUCACAAUAUAUUUUUUAACUUUCUUCGACCGAGGACUUGAAUUUACACAAAUAAUAUUCCUGCCGUUUUGAGGUAAAUUAGAAAAUGGCGAGAUCAUGAUUUCUGCGUUCAUCGCGAACGGAAAUGCACUGCGUGAAGUAGUAGAACUUCUGGGGCAUGUCUGUUUGAACUUCACUUUGUUUUUGACGUGCUGUUUUUUGCACUGCGUGAAGUACUUGAACUUCUAGGGCAUGUCUGUUUGAACUUCACUCUGUUUCACUUUAUUUUGUUUUUUUCUUGUAUGAAAUACACACCAUGUAGUACGUGAACUUCUCUCUGGUUUGAGAGAAUUAUUUUAAAACCCAAAAAACAACAUAUUUUUUUACGUAUUUUGGACAUCUAAAUACAUGGUGAACCUCUCUCACAAGAAUUUUUUGAACUUUUCCUCGCCGAGCACUUGAACUUCUAGCAACCAUUUUUUCCAUUUAUGAGAUGUUUUUAAAAGUGCAAAAAAUGGCGUUGUAUUUUUUAUUUUUGUGAACAGGUAAAUCUUAGAUUUUAAUAAACUUCGAACUUCUGUGUUAUUUCAAUUUGAACUUCAUCUUUUUAUAUUUUGAUUAAAGAAAUGUAUUCGAUUUUUAUAUGAAAAAAAUCGAGCAUCGAAAUACAAGGUGAACCUCUCUCGCAAGGUUUUUUGAACCUCCCCGGACAGAGCACUUGAACUCCUUUCAAUAAACCUUUUAAGCUUUUAUUUUUCUAUAUUUUUAUUCUCACCUGAAAUGCAAUCCUUGCAGUAUUGAACUUCUCAUUGUUUUCACUAUGAACUUAUGUCGCAUUUUUGUGUAUAUGUCAAAAUACACGCAAUUGAAGGUUGGAUGUCAUUUUUUGCCAUUUUAAAACAUGUAAUUGGAUGUCGGACGCCCCGCAAUAUAAAUUUUGAACCGUGCACAGAGGUGCACGUGAACUUCUUGCAACAAAUCUGAGUUUUUAUAUACUUUGAACUUCUAUGUUAUUUUAAAUUGAACUUCUCAGUCUUAUUCUUAGAAAAAAUGUUUUCAAAUAAGCAUCAAACAUUUUUUUAAAUUACAAAAAAAUUAAAACUUAUUUUUUAAAUUUGAGUUUUAAAUUGAAUAAUUUAAAAGGAAAGCAUAUUUUAAAUUGAACUUCCGGUUGUUAUUCUUAGUCUUAUACUUUUAUUUUUUGUAGAAAUGGAAAGAAUUUGAGUUUUCCGUAAACAACAAACUACUCCUUUUAUUUUAAUUUGAACUUCUUUAAUUUUAUUCUUUAGUAACGAAAGAAAACCUGUGUUUUUUUUAUAAAUAUCGAACUUCUCUAUUUUUAAAAUUUGGACUUCUUGUUUAUUUGAAAUACUUUCCUCUUUCAUUUUUUUUGAAACCAUAAAACAAUGAUCUUUUUAUAAAAAAACAUUUAAAGUCAUGCGUUAUGUUAAUUUGAACUUCUUGCUUUCCAUUUUAGAUACAAACUUUUUUGAUUUUUUUAUAAACUUUGGCCUGCAAUGUAUCUUAAAUUUGAACUUCUUGGUUUAGUUUCAGAGACGCAAAAAAUUGCCUACUGUUUUGUCUUUUAACUUAUAGGCUUUUGGGGUUUCGUAAACUUUUAGAGUUUAUUUUUGUUCAAAGUUACACACACACACACACACACACACACACAUAAUAGAAUAUACACCCACACAUUGAUGCUCACAUGUUGUAGUUUUGUUUUGAAGUGAAUUUUUCUAGACUUAAAUUUUGUUUGUGCUCUUUUAAAUUUAUUUGUCACUUCAAGUUCUAAAAAAUCGCAAAUCUCCCAUGUUUUUCUUUGCAUGUUUAAAUAGUUUGAACUUACCGAGAUACACAUAAGAUACUUUACCUUCUCGAACACACCAGUUUGACCUUCACAAAAAAAAUAAGCAUAGUAAUACAAGACAAACAGAGCAUUCUCUGUAUCCAUUUUUUGAAAUGACAACAUGGGUGUAGGUGCUAGUUGGCGCAUUGUGCAGCGGGGCAUCGGUGGGUGGUAGUAGCAGAAGGCGGUCGUUUGCUUUUCAGAUCGAUGUUCUUGAAUUAGUUUCGAAGAGGAGCAACAACUUUUUGUUGCACUGCAGAUUCAAACACACAAGUAGGUCCUCUCCCGAUGAAUGAAUGGAACGAGUGAGAUGAGUGAGUCUGAAUAUGCAUGAAUGUAUAAAGGCCAUAUUUUUUAUUUGGGAUCUCUGGUACUGCUAAGAAUAUAGACUGAAAUAGUAGAUGAGUGGAGCUUAGUUGCAAGAACAUGAAAAUGAGAGAAGGAAGAAAUGUGAUGCCUGGGAAGGUCAGAUUCAGCCGUCACUGCAGUCCAUGCACGAGAACAGUGACCAAGUACAUCGUAAUGCGAGCUGGAUAUGAAUAUGAAGGAUAUGCUUUGGUGAAUCUCAAAGUCGGGUUCUUUUCUUUGGGCUGGUGAGCUUUCCCUUCAAACAACAAAGAUAAGAAGCCACUCCAGGGUCAUGUCCAUUUUUUUGUCGACUAUACCGACACUACAUAUCUCGCGGCUAAAAAGACGAGCAUCUUCCAAUUCUUUUGAGCGACUUGCUCCCAGCUGCUAUUUCAGCUUCCUCAAGAUCCCGUUCCUGUAAUUCAUGGGGAGAGGAUGGAGGCAGAAGGGCAGCAAAGCAUUUGCAUUUUCUCGAAGAAAAAGAAGGGCAGCAACGCUCGAGGGAGCAGCUCGGCCUACAUGAGCAGGAGGAGGAGCAACAUCAACAAGUUGCUAGCAUCGGUUGCUUUAACUCCAGAGGAGGACGAUCGAGGUUGAAGUUCAGACCUGCGCCACGGGGAAGGUCAUUUUUUGGGCUCGCCGGAGUUGGGGGUCAUCUCCCCUUCACAUCAAGGAGGAGGAGGAGGGGAAUGGGACCUGCUGGUGGCGCUCAAUGCGUGGGCGGGGCGGGUGGCCGGAGGUAGNNNNNNNNNNNNNNNNNNNNNNNNNNNNNNNNNNNNNNNNNNNNNNNNNNNNNNNNNNNNNNNNNNNNNNNNNNNNNNNNNNNNNNNNNNNNNNNNNNNNNNNNNNNNNNNNNNNNNNNNNNNNNNNNNNNNNNNNNNNNNNNNNNNNNNNNNNNNNNNNNNNNNNNNNNNNNNNNNNNNNNNNNNNNNNNNNNNNNNNNNNNNNNNNNNNNNNNNNNNNNNNNNNNNNNNNNNNNNNNNNNNNNNNNNNNNNNNNNNNNNNNNNNNNNNNNNNNNNNNNNNNNNNNNNNNNNNNNNNNNNNNNNNNNNNNNNNNNNNNNNNNNNNNNNNNNNNNNNNNNNNNNNNNNNNNNNNNNNNNNNNNNNNNNNNNNNNNNNNNNNNNNNNNNNNNNNNNNNNNNNNNNNNNNNNNNNNNNNNNNNNNNNNNNNNNNNNNNNNNNNNNNNNNNNNNNNNNNNNNNNNNNNNNNNNNNNNNNNNNNNNNNNNNNNNNNNNNNNNNNNNNNNNNNNNNNNNNNNNNNNNNNNNNNNNNNNNNNNNNNNNNNNNNNNNNNNNNNNNNNNNNNNNNNNNNNNNNNNNNNNNNNNNNNNNNNNNNNNNNNNNNNNNNNNNNNNNNNNNNNNNNNNNNNNNNNNNNNNNNNNNNNNNNNNNNNNNNNNNNNNNNNNNNNNNNNNNNNNNNNNNNNNNNNNNNNNNNNNNNNNNNNNNNNNNNNNNNNNNNNNNNNNNNNNNNNNNNNNNNNNNNNNNNNNNNNNNNNNNNNNNNNNNNNNNNNNNNNNNNNNNNNNNNNNNNNNNNNNNNNNNNNNNNNNNNNNNNNNNNNNNNNNNNNNNNNNNNNNNNNNNNNNNNNNNNNNNNNNNNNNNNNNNNNNNNNNNNNNNNNNNNNNNNNNNNNNNNNNNNNNNNNNNNNNNNNNNNNNNNNNNNNNNNNNNNNNNNNNNNNNNNNNNNNNNNNNNNNNNNNNNNNNNNNNNNNNNNNNNNNNNNNNNNNNNNNNNNNNNNNNNNNNNNNNNNNNNNNNNNNNNNNNNNNNNNNNNNNNNNNNNNNNNNNNNNNNNNNNNNNNNNNNNNNNNNNNNNNNNNNNNNNNNNNNNNNNNNNNNNNNNNNNNNNNNNNNNNNNNNNNNNNNNNNNNNNNNNNNNNNNNNNNNNNNNNNNNNNNNNNNNNNNNNNNNNNNNNNNNNNNNAGUUACAUGAAAAAAUUGCAUAUGAAUCCAUAGUUUUUGUUAUAGUUGUGAAAUACGUACAUAUUUGUACGUAAAAAAAAAGCAUACUCAAAACAUGGUAUAUACUACCUAAAAAUUAGUAUAUAUACUACCUAAUCAUUGUUAUAUACUACAUACUACACGUACAUACUCUCAAUUUUGACAGAUACUACAUAGAACAUACAAAAUGCAAGUGGUGGUAACUACCACUGCUUGUAGGAAACAUUUGUCAUAUAUAUAUAUAUAUAUAUAUAUAUAUAUAUAGGUGCCUGGGCACCUAGGCCCAUUACGGCAAGUCAUAUCCAUUAGUACAUGCUAUACAAUCCACGUAAUAAUAGCUUUUCAUGUUCUGUUUGCAUGCAUUAUCACCAUAAUGGGGUACGAUUGCUGAUAUACCAGAAAAUGAUAGACCCUUUGCUGAUACAUGUAUACUCGUUCAAGACUACCUGUAAAUGAUACUGGAGACAUAUCCAGAAAAAUGUAUACCCCAAGAAUAUAAAUAAAUGUGACAUACUCGGAAAUUAUAUACCCAAAAUCAAUUUACUCGCAUAUGAUGUACCCCAAAUUAAGUAUGUGCUAUCAGUCGAGAAUACAUCAAUCUACCCCAAAUUAAGUAUGUACUAUCAGUCGAGAAUACAUCAAAGGUAGGUAUAUACCCAAAACAUACCCAAAAAAUGUAUACCCCAAGAAUAUAAAUAAAUGUGACAUACUCGAAAAUUAUAUACCCAAAAUCAAUAUACUCGCAUGUGAUGUACCUCAAAUUAAGUAUGUAUUAUUGAUCAAGAAUACAUCAAAGGUAGUACGUGCAUUCAUAUAAUAUGCAUAAGGACGCACAUGCAUACCCCAUAAAAAUGCUAAGUUUGUAUGUAUAUACCUUCAUAGGAGUUUUCAUUAUACAUCCAACGAAAUAAAUUAAGAAAAAAUUGCAUUUAUCACUUUCCUAUUCAACGCAUGUUAUUAAGACACCUAAAUCAUACGUUUGUUGGUACUUGCCAAUUGCUUCCAUAAAGCAUAUAUGGAAGCAGCUUAAUAUACUCGCACCCAUUACUAUCUACAUGCAUCUGUCUAAGAUCCAACGGUCACGAGCUAAGGAGCCUGGACACCUAGGUGUCCCAAACUGUUGUCACAUAUAUAUAUAUAUAUAUAUAUAUAUAUAUAUAUAUAUAUAUAUAUAUAUAGAGAGAGAGAGAGAGAGAGAGGGGGGGGGAUGGAUUUGCUAUUCACACUAGCUCAGAUGGCUGUUAUCAGAACCCUUCGGUUGCAUCGAGAUUCGAACCGUUGGGUGGAUAAGGUUCUGCUUUAAUCAUUUAUUGAAUUUUGCCACGGUCUAGGAGGAAAGUUGAGCCGAACCUUUUUGGUGUCAGUUGCCGGAAUGGGAAACCUACUGUCUGGCGAUUGCAGGUGUGCUCGAGGCAAAGUGACGACGACACUUUUCGAAGCAGCAGGGUGAGCCAGUGGCUGUUUUGGGCGAGCCGAUCAAUCAGCUAUUUCUGGCUAAUUAUGUAAAGUUCUACGGAGCCUUGGACUUGUCUUCUUGUGUUAAAACAACCAUUUUGGUCUAGUAAGCUGUGGAUAGUUGGGCACUGUUUUAGAGCAGCAAAAAAUGGUCUGCGAUGCUGGAGCGGGUGUGUAAAGCUUGCCGUAUUUAGAGGAUGCUUGGAUACAAGGGACUAUUUUUAGUCUGAUUAAAAAUAGUCUCUUUUAGAGGCUAAAGUUCCAAGCACCCCUGACUAAAAAGAGGCUAGGACUAGUCUUGAGGCUAAAAUCUUUUAGUCAUGGGAAACCUACUAAAAUAUGUAUUAGCUCUCUCUCUUCUCAUUUAAUUCCUCUCCUUGGUUCUGCAUUGGAGGGUUUGGAGGAUAAUAAAUGCUCAAUAACUAGAUUUUAGUCUCUUUAGUAUUUGGAUCCAAGCAUGGGUGAGACUAGCAAGUUUUAGUCCCACUACUUUUAGUCAUGGGACUAAAACGUAUCCAAGCAUGCUAUUAGUCUAGGUGUUUUGAAUACAGUUCUGCACCGUCCUGUAAUGAUGACCUGUCGGAUGAUUAAAUGCCAUUUUCAGAGGAAAGAUCCCUUAGUAAUGACCUGCGCCGACCUGUAGUAAUGACCUGCAAUAUUUAGUCAAGGCACACAACUACGGUAUGGGCUUCUAAUUACUGAAGCCACCGUCCAGCUGUUUGUUUUGCAUAUCUAGCAGCCCUAUCACCGAUCAUCUCACAGGAAAAACACCGACAAGCUUGCCUAGCACGGCCACGGCUGCACAGGAAAAACGCUGACAAGCUUGCCAUGCACGGCCACGGCUGCAAUGCUGGGUUGCAACAAUGACACUACUGGCGACCAUUCUUGAAGGCAUUUACGAAAACGCAGGGAAAACCAAUGUUGAGCAAGAGAAACGGAUUCAGGAGUAGACUUGAAAAGCACAUAUGGGCGGAUGCAUAGGGAAUGAAGACACUACUCGAACGCCACCGAAAUUCAGUCUGUACAACGUAAGCUUGAUGUACAAAAUGUAUAUCAUUUUGAUGGAUGUACCUUAGAUCUUGGCUGUGCACCGCCCUGUUAACGAACGCAGUUCGUCAAUCUCCCGUUGCGCUUCAGCCUCUUGGUUCUUGGUAUCGGACAGCAAACGGCCUGCUGCGCUUGCUGUGUUUUUGCCGGCCCCGCAGCCCGAGUGCGAUCACGGGGCGUGCUUCCUUUCUGCAGGAUAACAUCCAAUGUAGACGACCGAGGAAAUGUCAGGACAUCUCGGAUUUCGGGAGGCCAACACUAAGGUCAACUCCAGCGCGUGAGCCCAAACGACCCUAAACUCCGUCUGUUUAUGCCUGUUUGGAGUAAAACUGACAAACCAAACGACCCAACGCAUGGGAGCAUACGGACGUUUCACCUGGUCUGUGUCCGCUUUUGCCUCAUUUCCACACCAAAGUUGCUCUCGGUUUGGGGCCAAAGCGGACAGAAUGCGGACGCGAAGUGUCCGCCCUCAGUCCAGGGUCUGGGGUUGGGCCUCGUUCCGGGAGCCUGCGGCCGGCAAGGGCAUGGAGUUGGAGAGCGAGGAGGAGCGCCAUGGCACCGAGGAUGCGGCGGCAUUGGAGCGGUCGAGCUCCGCCUCCGCGGAGAAGUUGGCGCCCUCGACCCCAUCGUGCCACCUCCGUCGCCGAGCCCGGCCAGCCGCGCGCAGGCACUUCUCCGCCCCCUGCCUGCCCUCUCUCUGCUCUGCCCUCCUCGCGUGGUAGCUGACCGGCGCGUGGGCGUGCCGCGUUUGUUGGCCGCGGCGUUCCACGCGGGCGCUCGGCGGGAGUCGGCGAGGCGAGGCGGGUGCAGGAGCGGCGAGCUGCCGGGCAGACGCGGCGGGUCGCGGCAGGGCGCGGUCGGACAUGGCAGAUGCGGCGAGGCGUGCGCGCGGGCGCGGUGGGAGCGAGGGCACAAGCACGACGAGGCGUCAGGCGCGAUGGCGGGCAUGCGGUCGUGACGGGAGCGAGGGCGUGCAUGAGCAGGAGCGACCGCGGCGACGUCAAGUUCGCUAUGCCUGCUACGUGUUUGAAGAAAUGAUGAGGACGAACAGCUGGUGAAAUGGGGUGAAAAUGGGGUAGCAGCGUUGGGUGCAACGAGUUUGUUCGGCGUUUGUUCUCUCUAUUUCUACCCCAUAUGGACAAAAUCCGGAUAAAAUGGGUAUAAAUUUAGGAUCGUGCGGUGGAGUUGGCCUAAUGCACAACUCCAAAUGAACGUCCAUUUCGUCUGGUUUCCGUCCGUUUAGGACAUGAAAACGGACAUGAUUGUCCGCUUCUAGUUGUGCGGCCGUCGGUGCGCCUAACUAACACGCUCCACUCUAACCCGUCCGUGUUUUUGGACUUCGGCUUUGGCCCCAAAAAACCCCAAAUAAACGUUGCAAAUAAUAUAAAAUCAUAAAUAUAAACAUUAAGAGCAACUCCAACACGGCGACCCAAAUAGACGGCGAUUUUGUCCAUUUGAGUCGGUCCGGCGGACAACCGCGUCUGCUUUUGCGUUUGGGUCGACGCUUGCGCCCAACACUGACCCGACCCAUUUUUGAGGUGGUGCAAAAAAAAUUAGACCACAAAUAUUUUGAAAAUAGAAAACAUUAAUGCCGACCACAAAAGGCCUGCGAGAGUCCACGAGUCCACAUUACAUUAAGUAAAAACAUUUAAGAAAACUAAAAACUAGAAGGCGCGAUGCUUUAGGCGUCCUCGUCGUCACCGUCGGAGCCGGUGAGGUCGACGAGUGUCUGCGCCUGGCCAGCCCAGGGGAACACCGUCUCCUAGGUCGCGGCGGCAUCGUCCGCCGGUGGCUGUAUCGCCGCUGGAUGGGCUGCGCGACUGCGGACACGACGCUCCUCGUCCUUCGCCUCAGCGUCACGCUCCAACUUAUAGAGCCGCUCGCCCUCAUGAAGCUCCUCCGCGAGCCUGCGUUGCUACCAUUACUCCAGGUACAUCUGCUCCUGGGCCGGCGUUGCCCCAAACCAGAUGGGCGGCACACUGACCCACUCGCGCACGUACCCGUCCUAUGUGUAACGCUCGGGCUCGACGGGGGUCGGCGCCGGCUCGAGGGACGGCGGGGCCAACGGCGGCCCAACGUAGUCGCCGGCAGCAGAGAGAGCCUUGGCCUUCGCCAGCCAUGCCUGGUACGCCACCUCCUCCUUAUCCUCCUUGUGCCGCUCCUCAUCCUUGUUUUCACGGAGAACAGCCACCAGCGCUGCCUGGUUGGCGGCCUCCGCCUCCUGGUCCUCGUCACGCAUGACGAGGGGCGGCGGGGUGCCAACCACGUCACAGACGCCGCGCCGACGCUGCUCCUCGUGCUCCAAUGCGAACCAAACCUCCCAAUCCGGAGAGUCUAAUGCGUAGGCGGGAUUGAGGCGUUGCUCCAGCGUCAGCUACUGCCGGCGGCGCCAUACCUCCUCCAUGUGCGCCCACUGAUGAAGUCACGUACCUAGGGUAGGGUCAUGAACCUGACCAAGGUACCCUCCCCAAGGACAUCCUUUAGAAGAAGCCGUCUUCCAGUCGACCAAGAGGAACUCCACUCGACGGACUAGAAGACACUCGACGAACCUGAAGACACUCGACCAUGAAGACUCACUCGACCAUCAGGAGUUCAAGAUCUACUCUGUACCCAAAUGGUCUAUAAUUAAGUAGUCUUAAUGGUCAUGAUGACACUUUAUGUAAGGCGUUUCCAGUAACGCCAGACCUUAAUGUACUUUAACCCUCUGCUACGUUGGCUGGCUGGGGUCUUGGCAUCCUCUAUAUAAGCCACCCCCCUCCACUGGUAGAAGGGUUCGCACCCCUGUAACUCUCACACACAUAAUCCAGUCGACCGCCUCCGGGCUCCGAGACGUAGGGCUGUUACUUCCUCCGAGAAGGGCCUGAACUCGUAAAACACUUGUGCGCACGACUUCUCCAUAGCUAGGAUCUUGCCUCUCCAUACCUACCCCCUAUUGUACUGUCAAACUUAGAACCACGACAGUUGGCGCCCACCAUGGGGCCGGUGUCUUAGCGACUUGUUGGAGAAGUUGCAAUCUUUUCAGUUCCCAUCAUCAUGGUUUCAGGUGGAGUUUUGGUUGAGGGCCGCGAGAUCUGUCUCGGCGCGCUCACAUUCGUCGCCGACGACUCUGCCUGGCUGCAGGAGGCUCCGCUUGACGUGGAUGCACUCCCAGUCCGCGGAGCUACGCACUUUUGAGCAUGCGUCCGCGGCGUCCUUCUGCGGCAACUAUCGACUCAGUAUCAGCCGGUUUUCGUGUCAUCCUCCCUCCCAGCUUCCCGCCGGCGCAAGUGCUCCGGUCGGUUGAGGCUUCAGCGGUGGGUGAGGCACGCAGUGGCUCGCCAAUCGACCACACUGCCCAAGUCGCGGCAAUCGAGCCCGACGAAUCUCUCUACGGCAUGUUCGACCUGUCGACUGGCUCCGCAGAGACUGCAUCCGAAUGCGACAGCAGUGAUCCGGCGGCGGAGGUCCUGAUGGUCAAUGGGCCGCACGUUCCCCCCGGCUUUCCUGGCACCGAGAGAGGCAUUGGCGGAGGCGAUCCAUCGCACGACCAUGAGGAGUACCGCCCCGAGCCCCUCGACUCGCAGCAGAGGGAAGAGCCUCGCCGCCGGAACAUGGAUGCGCUUCAUACUCCGAUCGUUGGAGAAACCCCUGAGGCUCGCGCCUUAGAGGACGCGCGCUUGGCCAACCUGUCUGAGCGCUCUCGACUGGAGAACCUUCAGCGGGCACUCGACGAGCGCGCGCGGCAACGGAUUCCAGACUCCAGUCGAUGUCGACUCUUUAAACCUCCGACUCAGGUAUACCGCACUCCGAUCUAGAAUUUGGCAGCUGCAACCCGUAUAGCGGAGUCGAUUCAGCCUUCCCAGGCAGAGGCUGGCAGAGGCUUGUUGCAGAUCAGGGAUUUGCUCCGUGCAGCAGGAGAUCAGAAUUCGGUUGUGUCGCAGUCGCGGAACAGGAUUCAUAGCAGAUCCGUGGCGGCAAAUACGGUCCAGUCGGCUCAUAGCCCCAGAUCACCCCCGAGGCGUGAAGGGCAUGGCGACCGGCACGAUUAGUACAGGAACUAUGAGCAGUAUGAUCACCGAUUCGAUCGCAACGAUCGACGUCGAGUGCCCACUCCUCCCCCGAGGGGUGGAUCAUAUAUGCCUCGACAGCAGGAUGACAGACGCCAGCACAGUGGCGGGCAAAGAAUUCAUAUCGACCCCAGGGAACCAGGAUUUGAUGCGAGAUCCAUCAUCGUUCAAGGUCUGGUCGACCGGAACAGAGCCCACAGAGAGGGUAAUGACAGAGAUGUACCCACCAACAGCCGAGUGCACGUCUCUAGACCAGAGUGUUUCAGCAGAACCAUCAGAGCUGCGGUGAUUCCUCCCAACUUCAGGUUGGCGACUGGAGUCAGCAAGUUCAAUGGUGAGUCCAAGCCUGAUACUUGGCUUGAGGACUACCGAGUGGCUGUUCAGAUCGGCGGCGGAAAUGAUGAGGUGGCCAUGAAACAUCUGCCUCUCAUGUUGGAAGGGUCAGCCAGGGCAUGGCUGAAUCAGUUGACACCCAACAGCAUCUACACGUGGGAGGACCUCUCUCGAGUGUUUGUCAGGACGUUCGAAGGAACGUGCAAGCGGCCGGCGGGACUGACAGAGCUGCAAUCUUGUGUACAGAAGUCGAAUGAGACUCUGAGGGAUUACAUCCAGAGAUGGAUCACACUGCAUCACACAGUAGAAAAUGUAUCUGAUCAUCAGGCAGUUUGCGCCUUCAAGGAGGGCGUAAAGUACAGAGAGCUAAGCCUGAAAUUCGGCCGAACCGGAGACAUGUCUCUGAGUCGAAUGAUGGAGAUAGCCACCAAAUAUGCCAAUGGUGAGGAAGAGGAUCGGCUCCGGAGCGGCAAGCACAAGUCAGUCGCCCAGGACACCGGAGGCGGAAAUUCCAGUCGGAAGCAAAAGCGUAAAGCUGAGCCAGCCGCACCUGGAGAAGCCUUGGCCCUGAACCAAGGAAAGUUCAAAGGGAAACCCAAGGGGCCUUGGAACCCCAAGAAAGUAAAAGAUAAAGAAGGAAAUGACGUGUUGGAUUUACCAUGUCACAUCCACACCAAGAAAGACGAAGAGGGUAAUUUCAUUUACCCGAAGCAUACCACUCGACAGUGUCGACUCCUGAUACAGCAGUUCCAAGGGAAGCAACCUAAGGACAAAGAAAAAGAGUCGGACAAGGUUGAGGACAAGGAGGAUAGUGACGAGGAAUAUCCGUAGGUCAAUCCCACCUUGAUAAUUUUUGCCGAUGUUGAGAGCAAAAACCGACUAAAAGUUAUAAACCGGGAGGUGAAUAUGGCUGCUCCAUCAACACCCAAUUACCUGAAGUGGUCUCAGACUGCCAUUACGGUCGACCAAUCCGAUCACCCCACGCACAUAGCCACCCCUGGGAGGCAAGCGUUGGUGGUCGACCCAGUCGUCGAGGGCACUCGACUGACCAAAGUGUUGAUGGAUGGCGGCAGCAGUUUGAAUAUACUGUAUGCUGAGACGCUGAAAGGGAUGGGCAUUCUGAUGUCCAGAAUGAGCACAAGCAACAUGAGUUUUUAUGGAGUCAUCCCUGGCAAGAAGGCCGCAUCACUCGGCCAGAUUGCCCUUGAUGUAGUUUUUGGUGAUUCAAAGAAUUUCCGCAAGGAGAAGCUGGCAUUUGAGGUUGUGGAUUUCUAGAGUGCCCAUCAUGCAAUUUUGGGCAGGCCAGCUUAUGUGCAUUUUAUAGCUCGACCAUGUUACGUGCACCUCAAACUAAAGAUGCCUGGCCCUAAAGGCGUGAUUACUGUCACUGGUAAUCGCAAGAAGGCAGAAGAGUGCUUCCAGAAAGGCUCAAAGACCGCCGAUGCUUAGAUGGUGGCAGAAGAGUGGCAGGAACACCAAAGGAAUGCAGACCCGAGUGAUUUGUUGCGAGCCAAAAAGCCUGCUACGGAAUCAGCGUUCCAGUCGUCCAGUGAGACAAAACCCGUUCACAUCCACCCGACCGACCCUAACGAUGCCCCGACUCAUAUCUCCACAACACUUGACCCCAAAUAGGAAGAAGCGCUCAUCCAGUUCCUCCGUGAGAACUGGGACAUCUUUGCAUGGAAACCUUCUGACAUGCCGGGUGUACCCAGGGGACUAGCUGAGCAUCGUCUACGAGUCGAUUCAAAGGCAAAACCUGUGAAGGAACAUCUGCGACGGUACGCCGUCCAGAAAAGGAAGGCCAUUGGCGAGGAAGUGGCUCGGCUCCUAGCAGCAGAGUUUAUCCGAGAGAUUUACCAAUCCGAGUGGCUCGCCAAUGUCGUCAUGGUCCCCAAAAAGGACAAUUCACUUCACAUGUGCAUCGAUUUUAAGCAUAUCAAUCGGGCCUGCCCGAAAGAUCAUUUUCCUCUUCCCCGCAUCAACCAAAUAGUCGACUCGACUGCGGGAUGUGAGCGACUGUCUUUCUUGGACGCUUAUUCCGUGUACCAUCAGAUCCAUCUGUUUGGGCCCGAUGAGAUCAAAACGGCUUUCAUCACCCCAUUUGGGUGCUUUUGUUAUGUCACCAUGACAUUCGGCCUCAAGAAUGCCGGAGCCACAUUCAUGAGGAUGAUUCAGAAGUGUUUGCUCACUCAAAUCAGUCGGAAUAUGGAAGCGUACAUGGAUGACAUUGUGGUCAAGUCACGGAAAGGUUCCGACCUGCUGACUGACCUCGCUGAAACAUUUGCCAACCUCAUGAGGUACGAUAUCAAGCUUAACCCAUCCAAGUGCACGUUCGGAGUUCCUGGUGGAAAAUUACUCGGUUUUCUCGUUUCCGGAUGGGGAAUCGAUGCAAACCCAGAGAAAGUAGGCACAAUACUCCGAAUGAAAUGACCUGUGCGUGUGCACGAUGUUCAGAAGCUUACUGGUUGCUUGGCCACUUAAAGUCGAUUCAUCUCUCGUCUCGGUGAGAAGGCAUUGCCUCUUUACCGACUGAUGAAGAAAUCAGACAAGUUCGAGUGGACUCCUGAAGCUGACGCAGCAUUUGUAGAGUUAAAAACCCUGCUUUCCACCCAGCCGGUGCUUGCUGCUCCAAUCAGCAAAGAGCCUUUGCUGCUUUACAUUGCAGCCACAGGACAAGUCGUCAGUACUGUACUUACGGUCGAGCGGGAAGAAGAAGGGAAAGCCUUCAAAGUUCAGCGCCCGGUAUAUUACAUUUCUGAAGUCCUGACCCCAUCCAAGCAACGAUACCCUCACUAUCAGAAGCUUGUAUACGGGAUUUAUAUGACCACGAAGAAAGUUGCUCACUACUUCUCUGACCAUAUCAUCAUAGCCGUCACUGACGCCCCCUUAUCAUAGAUUCUGCACAACAGAGACGCAACCGGUCGAGUGGCAAAAUGGGUGAUUGAACUUCUUCCUCUAGAUAUCAGAUUUGAGGCAAAGAAAGCUAUCAAGUCCCAAGCAAUAGCGGAUUUCCUCGCCGAGUGGACUGAACAGCAGUUACCGACCCAAGUUCACUCGGAGCACUGGACUAUGUUCUUCGAUGGAUCCAAAAUGCUGAAUGGUUCCGGUGCCGGAGUGGUCUUGGUUUCCCCCCGAGGAGAUAAGCUCAGAUAUGUACUCCAGAUUCACUUUGAUUCCUCCAACAAUGAAGCAAAAUACGAAGCACUCUUGUACGGAUUGCGUAUGGCCAUUUCACUCGGCGUCCGUCGCCUCAUGGUCUACGGUGACUCGGACUUAGUGGUCAACCAAGUGAUGAAGGAGUGGGACAUCAGAAGCCCAGCCAUGACUGGUUACUGCAAUGCAGUCAGAAAGCUAGAGAAAAAAUUUGAGGGAUUAGAGCUCCAUCAUGUUCCCCGAAAAAUCAAGCAGCCGAUGACUUGGCCAAGAUAGGUUCCAAGAGGGAAGCCAUUCCGAUUGGCGUGUUUUUGGAGCAUGUUCACACGCCGUCGGUUCAAGAAGAUCCUUUCACUGAGGAAGCCCCGCAGCCAAAAAGCGCCACAGAUCCGACUGAAGUCGAGGUCCCAGCUGUGGUCGACUUAAUCAUGGAAGUUCUGGUCAUCAGUCCCGACUGGACAGUGCCCUAUAUCGCCUAUAUUCUGAGGAAAGAGCUCCCCAAGAAUGAAGAAGAGGCUCGAGAGAUCGUCCGCCGAUCCAAAGCCUUCACCGUCAUGAGGGGACAGUUGUACAGAGAAAGUGCGACUGGAGUCAGCCAGAAAUGCAUAACACCGGAAGAAGGUCGAAUGAUUCUCAACGACAUCCACUCGGGGACCUGUGGCCAUCAUGCGUCCUCUCGGACCAUCGUGGCUAAAGCAUACCGAGCGGGUUUUUACUGGCCCAGAGCAAAUGAGAUGGUGAAAGAGAUAGUCGACAAGUGUGAAGGAUGUCAAUUCUACUCCAAUAUGUCGCACAAACCCGGCUCAGCCUUGAAGACCAUUCCACUCGUCUGGCCUUUCGCUGUAUGGGGGUUGGAUAUGGUUGGACCACUGAGAACAGGCAGAAACGGCUACACCCAUGUAUUGGUAGCAGUCGACAAGUUCACUAAGUGGAUUGAGGCUAAACCCAUCAAGAAUCUGGAUGCCGGCACCGCCGUUAGCUUCAUCAGGGAGCUGGUAUUCAGAUAUGGAGUUCCCCACAGUAUCAUCACAGACAAUGGGUCAAACUUCGACUCCGAAGAAUUCAGAACCUUCUGCGCAUCUCAGGGUACACGAGUCGACUAUGCUUCAGUCGCCCACCCUCAGUCGAAUGGACAAGCAGAACGAGCAAAUGGCUUAAUUCUCAAAGGGUUGAAACCCCGACUAAUGUGCGACCUCAAGCACGCAGCUGGCGCAUGGGUCGACGAACUUCCGUCGGUGCUUUGGGGAUUAAGGACCACGCCAAACCGGUCGAUUGGGAGGACUCCGUUCUUCUUGGUCUAUGGAGCUGAAGCAGUCUUGCCGAGUGACCUGCUCCACAACGCACCCCGAGUCGAACUCUACACCGAAGCUGAAGCAGAGCAAGCCCGACAGGACACGGUCGACCUUCUAGAAGAAGAAAGAGAGAUGGCCUUGAUCCGAUCGACCAUUUACCAGCAGGACUUGCGUCGCUUCCAUGCCAGAAAUGUGAAGGGUCGAGCUUUCCAGGAGGGAGAUUUAGUUCUCCGAGUGGAUCAGCAAAAACCACACAAGCUUGCUCCUACUUGGGAAGGUCCCUUCAUCGUCACCAAGGUUCUCCAUAAUGGGGCAUACCGCCUUUACAAUGUCGAGCACCAGAUUGACGAGCCCAGAGCAUGGAACGCGGACCUGCUCCGCCCUUUUUAUACUUAAGUUUUCACUCGGAUGAGUUGUAAUAAAAGUACUCUUGUAGUGUAUUCAUCAAAGACAAGAGUUCCAUAAUUUUCUCAGUAAUUGUUAUUGCUUUUGUUCUCAUAAAUAUGUCACCCAAUGGGUGGCUUAGCUGCGAACCUGUUUCGCCUAAGAUUGUAAAAAAUCCUACCGGGUGGUAAGCCAACCUUCCACUCGGAGGCUUAGCUGCGAAUCCGUUUCGCCUAAGUUAAACAAAAUCCUACCGAGUGGUAAGCCAGUCUUCCACUCGGAGGCUUAGCUGCAGUCCAAGUACUCGCCUAAGUAAACAAAAUCCUACUGAGUGGUAAGCCAGUCUUCCACUCGGAGGCUUAGCUGCAGCCCAGUGCUCGCCUAAGUUUUUGAAAAUCCUACCGAGUGAUAAGACAGUCUUCCACUCGGAGGCUUAGCUGCAACCUAGUGUUCACCUAAGAAUAAAAGACAUCGUACGCUUCGCAAGGAGGACGAGGCGCAGGUCGACCCCUACUUCCUCCUUCCGAGCUACGUCACAAACACAACGUGCGUUCCGCAAGGAGGACGAAGCGCGGAUCGACUGCUACCUUCUCCUCCAAAGCUGUGCCACGAAAAAUCUACCGAGUGGAGAGCAAACCUCCCACUAGGGGGUUAGCUGCAGCCCAGUGCUCGCCUAAGUUUCUAAAAAACCUACCGAGUGGAGAGAAAACCUCCCACUCGGGGGAUUAGCUGCAGCCCAGUGCUCGCCUAAGUUUCUAAAAACCUAUCGAGUGGAGAGCAAACCUCCCACUCGGGGGCUUAGCUGCAACCCAGUGCUCACCUAAGUUUCUAAAAACCUACCGAGUGGAGAGCAAACCUCCCACUCUGGGGCUUAGCUGCAGCCCAGUGCUCGCCUAAGUUUCUAAAAAACCUACCGNNNNNNNNNNNNNNNNNNNNNNNNNNNNNNNNNNNNNNNNNNNNNNNNNNNNNNNNNNNNNNNNNNNNNNNNNNNNNNNNNNNNNNNNNNNNNNNNNNNNNNNNNNNNNNNNNNNNNNNNNNNNNNNNNNNNNNNNNNNNNNNNNNNNNNNNNNNNNNNNNNNNNNNNNNNNNNNNNNNNNNNNNNNNNNNNNNNNNNNNNNNNNNNNNNNNNNNNNNNNNNNNNNNNNNNNNNNNNNNNNNNNNNNNNNNNNNNNNNNNNNNNNNNNNNNNNNNNNNNNNNNNNNNNNNNNNNNNNNNNNACUCGGGGGCUUAGCUGCAGCCCAGUGCUCGGCUAAGUUUCUAAAAAACCUACCGAAUGGAGAGCAAACCUCCCACUCGGGGGCUUAGCUGCAUCCCAGUGCUCGCCUAAGUUUCUAAACAACCUACCGAGUGGAGAGCAAACCUCCCACUCGGGGGCUUAGCUGCAGCCCAGUGCUCGCCUAAGUUUCUAAAAUCCUACCGAGUGGAGAGCAAACCUCCCACUCGGGGGCUUAGCUGCAACCCAGCACUCGCCCAAACAUGACGAGCACAAGUCGACUGCAAUUUGUGCUUCACUCCUACCUGCAAAAGAGCAUUACAGAUGCUAGUAUAUACUCCAAUCCAAAGAAGAUGGUUGUCCGAAAGAAGCAAACGUAUUUCGACGGCAAAUCAAGUUCGGAUAACGUCCUACGGACCCAGAAGUACUCAGGCAUCAAGCCUGUUAAAGUUUGUCGGUUACAAAAAUCACUCGGCAUUCCGAGGCAAAUUCAAAUCAUCGAGCAUAGAAGUUUUUUACCCCUCCUGCGGAGGGCUGGAAGGCGCAACAAACUCGUCCAGGUCGAUCCCAUCUAUGAUCCGAGUGGCAGACGCGAUGAAGGUCUCCAUGAAAGAACGGAAGUCAUGCUUCCUAGUGUUGGCCACCUUGAGAGACACCAGCUUGUCUUCUCUGGCUUCCUUGCAGUGGACGUGGACCAAGGACAGAGCGACGUCAGCAUCGCACCUGGCAGAAGACUUCUUCCAUUCUUGCACUCGACUCGGAACUUCGUUCAGUCGAGUCAUCAACGACUCAAGGUCGUUCUGAAGCGUUUCUUCUGGCCAGAGCGAUGUGUCGAUGCGCAACGUUGCGGCCUUCGGUCUUGCAAGGUAAUCGAUCACUACAGCAAUGCGAGACUCGAGGCAGAGCACGUUCAUAGCGGUUUCAUCCUUCACCAGAGAAUUGAUGGGAUCCAAGCCAGUCUCCACUCGACUAGUCUCCUCUUCAAAGUUUUGGCAGAAUUUUGUGGACAUGAUUCAAGGAUAAGCUAAUGCCCUUACAGCAAGUCAGUAAUUACCAAACGGAGAUAAGGGGUUACCUUCGAGCAUGAGGAAUAGCUUCUUGGCGAGUCCUCCCAGAUAAACCUCCAAGUCAUUCUUCUUUCCCGCCAGUUCGCCAGCUUUGUCGCUCAGGACCAUAUUGGCGUUCUUCAGUCGAGUGACUUCUUGGUUGGCCACGUCGAGAGCAGCUUUCAGAUUAGUGUUUUCCUCUUCAAGUUUGUUAACAGAAGCCAACUUCUCUUCUGCAAGUUUUGUCUUGUUCGAAGCCGCUUUCUGCGCCUCGGCGAGGUCAAGGUCCUUCUUCUUCAGAGCAUCCCUCAGUUUUUCUGCAAAAAUCACAAUAAGAUCAGACUCAGAGACAGGCAAGAAGCAAGGACAGUCGUCAAGACUCUCACCAAACAUACCUUUUGCCUCCUCCUUUGACUUCGUAAAGUUCUCUUGGACAAGCUUCUGGUCAAGUUCAACCUGGAUAUGCUUGUUCUCCAAUUCGGUAUAACGAGAAACAAGGUCACAAGAUUUCUGCGAAAGAUCAGUCGACAGACAUCAACGACAGAUCACUUCCGAGUGACUAAAAAAAAA
rnacentral:lncRNA from 1 species